rnacentral:lncRNA from 1 species
UAACAAUGCCCCUGCAGCGGCUUUUCGGGUGAUUCUGGCUAGUCUAUUCUCUGCUCACAGAGUUGUACCAGCGCUCUCUGCUCUCCUGUUGUUGCCCUAGUGUCCCAGAUAUUUGUCAGCAACGAUGAGUUGAAGUUAAUCCAUGGACCAUAUAUUUGUAGUUGAGCUCUGGUUGCUGGUAGCAACAAGCAACUGUAAAACCAAACCAUGGAUAUAAUGUUUUGUUUCAUCUAAUGCUUUAAUUAAUGCCAGUCUUUCUGUGUCAUCAAGGAGUAAAAUACACUUGCUUGUUGCAAGUGAACAAUAUAUUCCUUUGGUUAGUUUCCUUGAUGACAUACGGCUGGAAGCACCAACAGUCAAACACUUGGCGAUGGAGGUGAUAAUCGCCGCCACGACGCCCGUUGCAGAUUUGCCCCAACACAUGGAAACAGAUAACUUUAACUACAAACUCAAUUCAUUUUAUAUCAUCAUGAUGAAAUGCUGAGUAGUAGCAGUUGGCUGAACUCCCAUUACUUUUGAUUAGAAUGAACCCGUCCGGCCAAUAUGGAUCAAGCUGACACAGACAAUUGAGAUAGAUAACUAGAAGCGGCUCAAUCAUUCAUUCACACUAGCUACUAGAUUUGCUCUGGAUGGAAAUGCUCUGCAUAGAUGGAUGUUGCUAGAUCAGACCACCGGACGCAUGCUCCAUGGUAGGUACGGUGGCUGUUGUCUCCAUGACGCUAGAGAUGGGGAAUGGGAGUUGAGGGGUGAGGAGAUUAAAAGUCCACUGUUUGAUUAGAGAGAAUGGGAGUUUAAGUGGGAAGGGGAAUGGAAGUUGAGGAAGCCAAAUUCCACCUAUUUCUUUCUAGGGGGUACCCUGUUAAUUCGUGAGCAGAGUUUUAUCCCGUGCUAAUUCCCACCAUAUACCAAACAAGGGAAUGAGAGUAAAAAUCAACUUCGCGUGACUAAUCCCUCCAUAACAUCCUGAUGCAAACUCUCGUUCUCAUGCCCAACUGUUUACCAAACAGGCUAGAUCCUAUCCAGCAUCUAUGCUUGCAUGCCAAACCUGAUUGCAUUAUUCAGAAACCAACCCAUUCACUAGAACGGCACACAAAAUGAUACUAGGUCAAAGUGAGGAUUUGCAGUUAGGACCAUGAAGAACGUACCAGGAGUCUAGUAGGAGGUAAGAAGGAAAGCAUCCACCAAAUUCCUUCUGUUUUCAUGCAUGUAUAUAGAGGUAAAGAAAAGGAGGGGUUCCUUCAUUUUCCACAGGACGUAGUUGCGCGACGCCGACAUGUCCUGGAUCCUCGCGGAAAGUUCCAUGAACGCUUCAAUCAUCCACGUCGCUAUCCUCUUUCAUCGUUUGAUGCAGUGCGUGUACCACGAGCUUAGUGCAGACGUUAAUGGCUUUGGUCGGAGAGCGACAUGGUUUCUUCAGUGUAGGUCACUUGAAGCACGAUUGGUUGGAUGGAACGUAACCACACUUGGUUCUGGUUGCUUGAUAGCUUCUUCACGGGGCGGCGUUUCUCGGACUUUUCCGGAGCCAGCCAACGGAGGAUCGUAAAGAUAGCAAUUCUAUCGUCGUGACAGAUAAUAAGAAUGAAAACCUCCCUCUUGGCGUCGCUUUGCUAGCUAGGCCGGGCAUCUUCCAAAUUAAUAUUGUGAAAUUCCGCAGUCCACAAAAACCACCCUGACCGACGGUCAGAUUUUUUUGAAUAUGCCCGUGAGUUUAUGCGAGACUUGAGCAAAACUCAGAUCGGAGAAGAAUAUGGUCCUGUCGAUUUUGCUUCUGACGGAAGGCGUGGCACGAUUGUCUGUCCCGUGUACUUUCGGCGCCUUUCUCCUUUUGCUCAAGUCCCGUGUUAGGAUCCUGGAAAUAGAUGGAAUGAUGAUAGCUCGAAAAGUAUUUGCUUUGUUGAGUUGGGCGACGCUGGAAAGUUCGGCUCCAUGCGACAACUUGGUUUAGCCAGGGAAACGACAGUGAAUCUACCUUUUUGAACUCACCGAGAAUCAAAUUUCUCAAGUUUUUAAAAUUGAAAAUAUACACAUUGGCGUUGAAUUGAAAUUUAGUUUUAAAAACUUUAGAAACUAAUUCUCAGUCCCGCUUUUUAGACAAAACACCAUCCUUCAGUAAGUGUUGAAAACGAAAAACUGCAACAUAGCAACGUUCUGAUGGGGUCACAAUACAACAGGACCCAACAAUAAAUGGAAAUAGCAGGUACUAGGUGAUCGGAAAUAGCCUACACUUAAGGAAGGGGUGGCUAACCUCAAGGCAACAACCAACUGUUGUAAUAUCCUAGGGUUCCAAUGUGAGAUCCCGCUCCAGGUUAUAUACUCUGUCCACCCAUCGGAGAGAAUGGGCCACAUGAGCCAGGAGAUGUCGGAAUACUGAAGCCCAAUUACUGUCCAACACUUCCCUUAAGAUGAGUGAUAAAUAUCCAUCGUUCGCACUUUGACACAAGCUCGAUUACAAUUCUUGACAGCCAAACCCUUUGUUGGAUAAUCAUCAACCUGUUGCCAUGUACUCACAUAGUUGACCUUGAUGAUUCUAGCAUCCAACUUGUUUUUAAUAAAAAGAUUAUCGAUCUCAAUGUGCUUUGUCCUAUCAUGUUGGACUAGAUUAUUUGCUAUGCAAAUUGUUGACUUGUUAUCACACCAUAAGUUCAAGUGUCCUGCCUUUAACACCUCCAGCUCACUCAAAAAGUUUCUUACCCAUAGCAUCCCACUUAAUCCUUAAUACGUGGCUUUAUACUCUCCUUCUGUAGUUGACCUUGAUACUAUUAUUUUUUUUCGCUUCUCCAUGAUACCAAUUCCCUCCAAGGAAUACACAAUAACAUGAAGUUGACCUUAUAUCAUCUAAACAGCUUGCCCAAUCAGCAUCACUAUAACUGUCAACUGUUAGAUCCAUUUGCUUUAAACCAUAGCCCUUUCUUUGGAGUUCCUUUUAUUUUUCUGCGAUAAAAUUUCAAUAUAUUCAUGUUCAAUCAAAGCAGUACAAAGAAUAACAAAGGUAAUAAAAAUUACAACCAUGUUCAUGGACCACCUAGCGACGACUACAAGCACUGAAGCGAGCCGAAGGCGCGCCGCCGUCAUCGCCCCUCCCUCACUGGAACCGGCCAAUCUUUAUUGUAGUAGACAGUCGGAAAGUCAUCGUGAUAAAGCCCCAUAGGACCAGUGCACCAGAGCAGCAACCAUCGCCGAUGAAUAAAGUUGUAGAUCAGAAGGAUCAAACCUAUAAACACUCAAAGAAGAUGAAUGAAGACCAGAUCCAAACAAAUCCGCCGAAGACCAGCACCGACGGAAUCCCGCGAGAUCCGACAGAGACACACCUCCACACGCCCUCCGACAAUGCUAGAUGCACCAUCGGGACGGGGAUAGAACGUGAGAGACAUUAUUCCUACUAAGGGACAUCGCCACCGCCACACAACCCAACCAUGACGUUGAGUCUAACAAGAACGAGAACAUCAUCCCUCCCGCCGGCGGUGGGCCAAGAUCCUCUACACCUCCAUGGCCGAGAGACCAUCGGAAAUGAGGCGGACCCAGUCAGCAUCACUACUACUGACAACUGUUAGAUCCAUUUGCUUCCAUAGCCCAUUUUCUGGAGUUCCUUUUAAACAUCUUAGGAUUUGGGACAUCAUCCAUAUGUACACUUCUUGGUUCAUGCGUGUAUAUACUUACUACGCUAACUGUAUAUGCAAUAUUUGGUCUUGUGUGAUACGAGUACAAUAAUCGUCCCACCAGAUAUCUCUCCUUGUCUACAAGUUUGCUAGAUUGAGCUCUUAUUUUGUGAUCCUGAUCAAUGGGUGUGAGAGCUGCAUGGCAUUCCAUCAUCCCCGUAUCACUGAGGAGGUCUAAGUUAUACUUGCGUUGUGAUAGAGCUAUUCCCUUCUUUGAUCUUUUCACCUCUAUUCCAAGAAAGUAUCUAAGUUGACCAAGAUUUCUUACUUCAAAUGCUUUGCUUAAACAACUCUCUUAACCCUUGUUAUUUCCAUUGCAUCUUCUCUUGUGAUUAUUAUGUCAUCCAUGUAGACUGCUAGAAUUGUGAUCUUCUGAUUUGAGUAUUUAUCGAAUACAGUGUGACCUCAUCUCAUGUCUGUCUUAAUUAAACUAACAUCUGUUUUGUUCCUUUCCCUGCUGACAUACAGCUGGAAGCACCAACUUUCAAACACUUGGCGAUGACCCUGAUAAUUGCCACCACGACACCCGUUGCUGACCGUUCCGGCACGUGGAAACAGAUAAUUUUGAUUAUCGCUCCAAAGAACCCAUUCAUUCAUAUGAUGUAAUGCUGAGUAGUAACUUAACAGUUGCCCGAACUCCGUUUCCAGCAAGCUGACGCAGACAACUAAGAUAACUAGAACUCUAGAAGUGGCCCAAUCAUGCAGGCUACUAGAUCAUUCAGUCUACUGUAUUUUUCUGAUAGUGUAGUACUACAUAGAUGUCAGAUCAGGUCUCACCAGACGCACGCUUGAAGCACAGGCAUUCGGUAGGUAGGUGACUGUUCCAUACAUGACACUAGAUCCUAUCCAGAAUCUAUGCAAAACCGCUGCUUGAUUGCACACUUGCACUAUUUAGAAAGCAAACUCACCCACUAGAAGAGCACAAAAAAGAUGAUAGGUCAAAGUGAGGAUUUGCAGCUAGGGCCAUCAAGAACUAGUCUUGUUUCCUGUAGCGGAAAAUGAGAUCCAUCUAGUGGUUUCCAAGAGACGUAAUUGCGCGAUGGCGAGAUAGUUCGGCGUCGUAUCAUCUACGUCGUCAUCCGCUUUACUGUUUGAUGCGAUGCUAUGUUCCACGAGAUUAAGCAAACGCUCUUGACUUAUGGUUUCUCCGUCUAUGCUCUCUUCCUCUGCCUCAGUCACUUGAUGGCAAGGAAAGGCCAAACCGAGGCACGAUUAGGUUGGAAUAUCCUCCCUUCCCUUUAUUAAAUCAGCGACACUUAAUUUGAAACGGAGAGGGCACGUACGAUCUUGAGGCAACGCUUGUGAACCCUUCUUUCCUAAUAAAACUUUCCAGAUGGCCAUCGAAGUUCUUGCCGUCGCUUUGCCAGGUAGGCAUCUGUAGAUUGUAAUAGUAAUGCCAUAGUAUGUCAGUCUUGAACUAAGAUCUCUCUUGUUCAUUUCAUUACUGACAGACAUACAGCUGGAAGCACCAACUGUCAGAACACUCGGUGAGGGUCCAACGACGCCCGUUGCAGACCGCUGCAACACAUGGAAACGGAUAGCCUUAACUAUAUAGUCUGUAAAACAUAUAGUUUGAGAAAUUGCUCGACACCCUAAACGGGGUGUGGCUAUCUCAUUAUAUUUAUUUUUUUUGAAAAGAGGGGCUCCUCGGUCUCUGCCCACAAUAAAGCACAUACUCCUACACGAAUGUGUCUCGCUGUUUCGGACUCUAUCUCGUUAAGCCACGUUCCAAAUAACGUGCUGACAGAACUCGGAGGAGUAAUGUUAAAAGCAAUGUGGACCGUCCACCAUAGAACUUUGGCUAACGGGCAAUCAAGAAAAAGGUGUUUGAUAGUUUCAUCCCGAUCACAGAAACUACACCUAGUAGGUCCUGUCCCCAGUUACACUUUACCAAAUUGUCCUUGGUUAAGAUGACUUGUUUAUGUACAAACCACAUAAACACUUUAAUUUUCAAAGGAACUUUGACUGUCCAAACAUAUUUGGAACUAGGAAUAGAGCUUGAAUUGAGAACAUCGAGAUACAUUGAUUUAACUGUAAACUCUCCAGACCUAGUAAGCUUUCAGCAUAAUUGACCGGGCUGUUGAGACAGCUGCACCUCCAUCAGUCUACUCACUAGAUGGAGUCACUCUUCCCAACGAUUACCGACUAGCGUCCUCCUGAACUGAAUAUUAAGGGGAAUGGAUUGAAGUACCAUUGCAACGAAAGCAUCACGUCGUUGAACAAUACGAUACAGAGACGGGUAUUGAAGUGCAAGGGGGGUCUCUCCGAGCCAAGUAUCCUCCCAGAAUCGUGUGCUAGCACCAUUGCCGAUAAUAAACUUUGUCCUAUUAAAAAAGACUAAUUUGACUCUCAUAAGCCAUUUCCAAAAAGGUGAGUCAGUCGGCAUCGCUGUCACCUGGGACAAAGUUUUGGAGUGAAGAUACUUACUACGGAGGAUCUGCGCCCAAGUGGCAUCAGUCUCGACAGAUAAUUUCGACAACCACUUGCUGAGAAGACAUCUCUUCUCGACCUCAAGAUUCUCAAUGCCAAGACCCCCUUGGUCUUUCGGUCAACAGAUAAUAUCCCAUUUGGUGAGUCUGUAUUUUCUUUUUAGUUCAUCGCUCCGCCAGAAGAAUCGGGAUCGAUAAAGUCCAGCAUUUUCCUAACUCCAACUGGGACUUCGAAGAAAGACAAGAGAAACAUAGGCAUACUCGUGAGAACCGAAUCAAUCAGAAUUAAUCGGCCUCCGUAUGACAUGAGCUUGCCCUUCCAGCAACUCAGUUUCUUUUCAAAGCGAUCCUCGAUACACUUCCAUUCUCAGUUUGUCAGCUUGCGAUGGUGAAUUGGUAUACCUAAAUACGUAAAAGGUAAGGUCCCCAAUUCACACCCAAACAAUUGCCUAUAAGCCUCUUGUUCCUCAUUGUCUCUUCCAAAACAGAACAAUUCGCUUUUGUGAAAGUUAAUCUUUAACCCGGUCAAUUGUUCAAAUAAGCAUAACACCAGCUUCAUAUUUCUCGCUUUUGCCAACUCAUGCUCCAUAAAGAUGAUCGUAUCAUCGGCGUACUGUAGGAUAGACACACCUCCAUCAACUAGAUGAGGCACCAAGCCACCCACCUGACCAGCCUCCUUAGCCCUUCCUAUUAGAAUUGCCAACAUAUCAGCUACAAUGUUGAACAAAAUAGGAGACAUCGGAUCCCCUUGUCUCAGGCCCUUAUGUGUCUGGAAAUAAUGACCUAUGCCGUCAUUCACUUUAAUUACAAUAGUCCCUUUUUGCGUGAACGAUUCUACCUGUCGUCGCCAGGCCUCAUCAAAACCUUUCAUACGCAAGGCCUUUUGAAGGAAAGGCCAUUUGACUUUAUCGUACGCUUUCUCGAAAUCCACCUUAAAAACAACCCCAUCUAGUUUUUUCGUGUGGAUUUCGUGGAGCGUUUCAUGAAGGACCACAACCCCUUCUAGGAUGUUCCUGUCCGGCAUGAAAGCAGUUUGGGAAUGCUAGACCAUAGAAUGCGCAAUCUGCAUGAGCCUAUUAGUCCCAACCUUGGUGAAAAUUUUGGAACUAACAAUGAGAAGACAGAUCGGCCUGAACUGCUCAAUUCUCACAACCUCUAUUUUCUUAGGAAGCAAUGUUAUUGUUCCAAAAUUUAAGUGAAAUAACUGAAGCUGUCCAGAGAAUAAAUCAUGGAACAAUGGUAGCAAAUCCCCCUUAAUAAUAUGCCAACACUUUUUAUAGAAUUCCGCCGGAAAUCCAUCUGGCCCUGGGGCCUUAUUGUUUUUCAUCUGUGUAAUGGCUUCAAACACCUCUUUCUCCGAAAAUAGGGCAAUCAAAAUAUCAUUCUCAUCAGCAGUAAGUUGAGGCACAUUCUCAAUCCCGGACUCAUCUAGGGAUACACAAUUAUCCUCCGGAGGCCCAAACAACUGCUUGUAGUAUUUGGUUAUGUAUAAUUUUAGGUUUUCCUUUCCUAAAAUCGUUCCUUUAUCUUGCUCAAGCUGAAAGAUUCUCUUCUUUCUGUGCUUGCCAUUAGCGAUCAUGUGAAAGAAUUGAGUGUUCGCGUCCCCCUGGAAAACUUUGCGAACCUUAGCCCGCAGCGCCCACUUUAAUUCCUCUUCACGGAGAAGCUCUUUCAACCUCAUCUCCGCCUCCAGUUUAGCAUGAAGCUCCGUGGCUUGCAACAUUGUGGACUCGUCUUUUAAAUCUAGGGACUGAAUAAGUGUAAGGAGCCUUUCCUUUUCGACCUUAUAAAUCCCAGAUGCUUAGCCCACGCAUGCAAGAAACUUCUCAAAUGCCUUAUCUUAUUCUGCCAGCGCUCAACCGAAGUCCUACCUCCUGCAUCCUUAGCCCAUUCCCUGGCUAUCAGAUCCAAGAAGCCUUCUCGUUCAAACCAUGCCAACUCGAAUGAAAAGGAAUUUUUGUUCCCCAUGUGGGUUGGCUCACCUGAGUCUACACAUAAAGGCGUGUGAUCAGAAAUUCCAUGCGAAAGUUCCUGGACCGUUACCAAAGGAAAUUUUUGUUCCCAUUCGACGCUCGCUAGGACUCGAUCCAGCUUCUCAAACGUCGGAUUUGGCAAGGCAUUAGCCCAGGUAAAUUUUCUACCUGAAAUCUCUCAGAUCCAAGCUUUCAAUAAUGGUAUUAAACAUAAACGACCACUUGCCGUCAAAGUUAUCAUUGUUUUUUCCUCUCUCCUCCUAAUGAUAUUGAAAUCACCCCCAACCAGAAUUGGGAGCUGCUCAGAGCCGCAAAUUCGAACAAGAUCCACCAAGAAUUCUGGUUUGAGCUCGGGCUGCGCGGCACCAUAAACCGCCACCAGUGCCCAAUUAGACCCAUUAGCUUUCGACCUAACCCGAAACUUAACUGCGAAAUUUCCCAUCACUACACUUCGAACUUCCAGCGAAUCGCAUCUCACUCCAAGUAAGAUCCCACCCGAUCUUCCUCUCGGAGGCAGGCAGUGCCAAUCGAAAUCGACACCUCCCGAUAAAGUAUUGAGAAAUUGGUCCGAAAAAUUAUCUCUACCAGUUCCCGAGAGAGCAAUAAAAUCCAACCUAUGCUCGAUAGACGCAUCUGCAAGAAACCUUCUUUUAGCCAAGUUUUUCAGACCUCUGCUAUUCCAAAAGAUUCCUUUCAUAUUUCAUCAUGAAAUCCUAGCACUCCUAUGCACCGCUGAAGCAGGGUAGAUCUUCCGCUUCCACUUGCGUUUAGGUUUGUUUUGAUCCUCCACCCGGUCCUCACAACCAGGCUUAGUGGAUCGAACUACUGCAGCCUCAAAAGUGUCAUCCUCUUCCUCUGACUCAGGAAUAGAUGGUGCAAGAUCCGCACAAAAAUCAUCGAGCACCCUGACCCCCAACGCAUCGAUAUCUGCAUCAUUCAUGGGUUUUACCGCUGCUAAGUUUUGAAUCGUUUCUAAAGCGCGUUCCGCUUCCAAAUCUAGGAGAUCAUUAACAGAGUUGAAAAUUUCACUAUCAUUACUACCUAGUGAAACUCCUAAUUGAUAUGCAUAAUUAAUAAUCUCAUUAUUAGAAAAAUGCAGAAUGGAAUUACUCAUUAUAUAGAGGUAUCAAAGGGCACAAUACAAUGUGUGUACAAGAGUCCACGUAUAUAUACAGUCUAACACCCUUCCUCAAUCUUAACUAUGGCCUAAAGUACAAAGCAAAUUAAGAUUGCGCCUACAGCCUACAAACUGUGGUUGUGGAAGAGGCUUCGUGAAGAUGUCAGCAAGUUGAUCUUUUGACGAGAUGAACUUGAUACUGAGUAGCUUUUGUGCAACACAUGCUCGGGCAAAGUGAUAGUCAACAUCAAUGUGUUUCGUCCGAGCAUGAAACAUUGGAUUAGAUGAAAGAUAUGUAGCACCGAUGUUGUCACACCAAAGCACUGGAGGAUGAGCAGGAGAGACUCUCAAUUCUCUCAGCAAGGACUGAACCCAUAUGAUCUCAGCAAUCGCAUCAGCAACUGCUUUAUACUCAGCUUCAGUACUAUUGCGAGACACCGUAGCCUGCUUGCGAGCAUUCCAGGCGAUCAAGUUAGGACCAAGAAACACUGCAUAUCCCCCCGUGGAUCACCUAUGAUCAGGACUACCAGCCCAAUCUGCAUCUGAAAAAGCUGAGAUCUCAUAAGACGGCGCAUGCUGGAGAAGCAAACCAUAGGAAGCAGUGAGGCAAACAUAACGUAGGAUACGCUUCACAGCUGACCAAUAAGAUGUCCUAGGUGCAUGGAGAUACUGACAUACACGGUUGACUUCAUAAGAGACAUCUGGUAUGGUGAUAGUAAGAUACUGCAGACCACCAAUGAGACUACGAUACUCAGUAGCAUCAUUAGGUGAAAGAAGGUCUCCAUCAAGAGCAGACAACCGAUCAGUAGCAGACAUCGGAGUGAUCGCAUGUUUACACUUCAGCAUUCCAGCACGAUGCAACAUGUCCAGAGAAUACUUCUUCCGAGUAAGAGUCAACCCAGCAGAAGACCGCGAAACCUCCAGACCAAGAAAGAAGUGCAGAGCACCUAAAUCUUUGACAGCAAAAUCACCACUCAAAGCAGCCACAAGACGAUCCGCAGCAGCAUCGGAGGAACUGAUGAGGAUGAUAUCAUCAACAUAAACCAACAGAUACAUCGUAACCUCAAGACGCUGAAGAAGAAACAGGGACGUGUCAGAAGUGGAGGGAAGAAACCCAAGCACCCAAAGAACAGAGCCGAGGCGUGCAUGCCACACACGGGGAGCCUGUUUAAGUCCAUAUAGCACCUUAACAAGACGACAAAGAUGACGAGGACGUGCAGGAUCCAGAAAACUCGGCGGCUGACGCAUAUAAACCUCCUCCUCCAAGACUCCAUGCAGAAAAGCAUUUUGCACAUCAAGCUGACGAGGGAACCAUCCUCGAGUAACAGUAAGAGACAUCAGCAAACGAAUGGUAGUGGGUUUGAUAACCAGACUGAAUGUGUCUUCAUAAUCCAGACCAUACCUCUAUUUGAAACCCUUGGCAACUAGCCUUGCCUUGUAGCGCUCAAUAGAAUCAUUAGCAUGUCUCUUGACUUUAAAGACCCACUUGGAAUCAAUAAUGUUAACACCAGAUACUGGAGGAACAAGGUGCCAAGUGUCAUUCUUCAGCAGGGCCUGAAACUCCUGUUCCAUCACGGCACGCCAGUGAGGAAUACCCAGUGCAGCCUGAAAAUGGCGAGGCUCAGUAGUGGGAUCCGCAGCAGUAUGAGCCAUGCAAGCAGCGAGCCACGUGAUAGUCCCAUCGGUGCGUUUCUUUGGCUGAAAAACACCCAUCUGGCUGCGUGUUCGAGGACGAAGAGGAACAACAACGGGCUAUGCUGAUGAUGCCAGACUCGACGCAGGCGACGACAUCAAUAGAGGCGAGGCCGAGGCACCCUGCGAGCUCGCGCCAUAGUCUCCUAGCAAUGGGGAGGCAGGCAGCAUCGGGCCCUGUGCGGCCGGCCCAUCCAGAGCCGGGGAGGUGGCCAGCGACGGGCCUUGCGAGGCCAGCCCACCAAGAGCCAGUGCGAGGUCGGCCGGCGCAGGAGAAACAUCUGCUGGGCCUGACAAGGUGGUAGCUGGCCCAGGCGAAGCAACCACCGAGCCGGGCAAGGUCGGCACCUGCGGGGCGGCUGCGGGUGCAGCCUCCAUGAGCUGACGGGUGCCGCCCGUCAUGCAUGUCCCAUGCAUAGGAUCCACGUCCCGAUCCGGAGCAUCAUCUGGCGCCUGUUCGUCAGGUAGCUCAAGACGAGCACCACGUCCAAUACUUGCAGUAUGAUUAGGAAGCAACACAGGAGCAUUUGCAACAUCCACAAAUUGAUCAGGCGAAGGUAUGGUAGAGUGAGCAGGUGGCAUAUGAGUGUUAGAGUUGUUCGGAAGUGCAUGAAAAGGGAACACAUUCUCAUCAAACACAAUGUCACAAGAUAUGUAGACACGAUUGGUGGGAACGUCUAGGCAUUUGUACCCUUUGUGAAGGGAACUAUACCCAAUAAAACACACUUUUUAGAUCGAAACUCUAGCUUAUGUUUGUUGUACGGACGCAAAUGGGGCCAACAUGUACACCCAAACACUUUGAGGAAUGUGUAAUCUGAUAUUUCAUUGAGCAAGAGUUCAAGCAGGGUUUUCAUAUUCAGAAGUCGUGAGGGAAGCCUGUUUAUCAAAACAUAGACGAUGGAGAAAGCAUCACUCCAGAACCUAAACGGAACGGAGGCAUGAGCUAGCAAAGUAAGGCCAGUUUCUACAAGAUGAUGAUGCUUACGUUCAGCGGUUCCAUUCUGCUGAUGUGUAUGAGGACAAGACACAUGGUGCGAAAUCCCAAGUUUGUUGAAAAAUGUGUUGAGGUUGUGAUAUUCACCCCCCAAUCGGAUUGAACAUGAAUAAUUUUCUGCUUAAGGAGAUGCUCAACCUGUGCUUGAAACUGAAUAAAAACAUCGAACACAUCAGACUUUCGCUUAAUAAGAUAGAGCCAAGUAAACCUGCUAUAAGCAUCAAUGAAACUGACAUAAUAGUUGUGGCCACUCACAAACGUUUGGGCAUGACCCCAUACAUCAGAAAACACAAGCUCAACAGGAUAUUUCACAACACGACUAGACUCUGAAAAAGGAAGUUGGUGACUCUUGCCCUGCCGACAGGCAUCACAAAUAGUUUCAGCAGUUUUAUUGGACACAACUGGUAGUUCAUGACGAUGUAGCACAUGACGAACUAUAGGAGCAGCAGGGUGACCAAGGCACGCAUGCCAAUGUGUAGGUGACACACGAACACCGUUGAACGCCUGAGAAGAAGACUGCAUAGGAGAUGUGGGCGGCGCGUCAAGUGCAUAUAAACCAUGGCGAAGACAGCCACUAAGCAGAACGGCCCUCGUGUCCCAAUCCUUGAUAAAGAAACGAAAAGGGUGAAACUCAACAAGGACAUUAUUAUCACGAGUAAGUUGAGGAAUAGACAACAAACUAUGUGUAGCAGUGGGAACUCAAAGAACAUUGGAAAGAUGCAGUUUUCGAAAGUUGUGUGCAAGAAGUGAGGCCUGACCAACAUGAGAGAUGCACAUACCUGCUCCAUUGGCGGUGUGCACCUGAUCAUGACUGCGAUAUGGUUCCUGCGUGGAGAGCUUGGCCAUCUCGUUGGUGAGGUGGUUCAUGGCUCCCGUGUCCAUAUACCAUGUAGGAUCAAUGGAGUAGGACGGAGUGUGCCCAUGUUCAUGACUGGUCACCACAGCAGCCUGUUUUUUAUUCCCUUUGCCAUUAUUGCCUAGGCCAAGAAAAUCUUGCUUGUAGCAUCGAUGACAGCGGGAGGCGAUGUGGCGCUCAACACCACACAGCUGACAGGCCUGUUGAGCGCUACAGCAGGGACAACAAGCCACCGGCCUGGCACCGCCAGUGAUGGACGGCGCGGCGCCCGGCGGAGCCUGCGGGGAUGAGGCCGCCGGCUUCUGUGGUUUACCACGGGUCGCGGCGUUGGCGGAGACAAAGCUCGGAGAGGCACUACGCGCUUUGAUGCACUGUUCAUGGCCAAGAAGAUGCGCAUAGAGCUCUCGUGGUGGAAGUGGCGCCUCACGACCAUGGAUAUUCUCGAUGAGAUUUUCAUAAUCGUCAUCAAGGCCAUUGAACACGUGGGUGGUGAAGUCCUCAUCUCCAAGCGGCUGACCAAUCGAGGCCAAGGUGUCAGCGAGACCAGACAUCUUGGUGAAGUACUCCGCGAUGGUGAGGUCGCCGAGUUUUGUCUCCCCCAAAUCGGUGCAUAUAGCAUGAGCUCGCGCCUGAGAUUGGAAGGCGAAGCUGCUAUGAAGCACCGACCAAGCAUCCCGAGACAUCGUGGCGAAGAUGACCAGGGACGACACGCUCGGAGUGAGCGAUGACUGGAUGACGGAGAUGAUCGCCUGAUCCUGGGCCACCCACACGUGAUACGCCAGAUGGUACGGCGGUGGACACGGGAUGGAUCCAUCAACGUAUCCCUCCAGGUAGCGGCUUCGGAGGAGAGGUAGCAGCUGAGCCCGCCAUGACAAGUAAUUGUCCGACGUAAGCUUCACCGAAAGGAGGCGUGAGAAGUAAAACGGCGCCGGCGCCGCCAUAUGAUCCGCAUGAGCCUGUGCCGGUGGUGCGUAGAAACCCAUCAAAGGGUCCGUCUCCGGGUGAGAGGCGAUCGCCAGAGGUGCGCCAGCAUACGACAACGAAGGGUAGGCGCCAGGAGCAACAUCGCCCGAUCCGGUCGGGGCUCCGGGGGGCGCAAGAGGUGCAGCCUCGUAGGGCAGCGAGGACGGCGGCACCGCAUAAGGCUGGGGGUGCGACGGCCCGCAUAGGACUGCACCGACGGCACGCCGUAGGGCGCCGGCCAGGCAAACGAAGACGACGACAUGGCACCGAAGGUUGGUGCAGGGGCGCCAUACCAGGGAGCGACGUAGAUCGGCGGAGGAGCCGCGCCAUGCGCGGGUGCAGGACCGCGAAAAACCCGCGGCGCGGAAGCAGUGGUCGAGGAAGGUCCGACGGAGGAGACUGGCGGAGGCAGGUCGCCCGGCCCGCUCGAUCCGAUCAAAGGACCCGCGGGAGUCCCGCCGGGCGGCUGAGCCUGCCACCAGGCUGUAGCCAGCGGGUGGGACGCCAUGAAGGGCGACGAAGGGGCGACGGCGGAGGCUAGUGCUUGGGCCGACGCAGCGGCGGCGGCGUUGGAAGAAGCCGAGGCGGCGGCGGCGGCGGGGGCAGCGGAAGACAUCGAAACCCUAAACUGAUACCAUGUAAAACAUAUAGUUUGGGAAACUGCUCGACACCCUAAACGGAAUGUGGCUAUCUCAUUAUAUAAAUGUACCAAAGGGUACAAUACAAUGUAUGUACAAGAGUCCAUGUGUAUAUACAGUCUAACAUAGUCUAUUAGCUUCAACCCAUUCAUUUUUUAUCAUGAAACUUCGAGUAGCAACAGUCGGUGCAAACUGACGCGGAAGGUAAGGUGGCUGUUGCCAUGUCUGCAUGACACUAGCUAGUUCUUAUCCAGAGUGGCAGAAUCUGUGUGCCGACCGAAACCGCUGCUUGACUGCACUGUUUAGAAAUUAAUUAAGCAACUCGUCCACUAGGACGGCCGUUAACCCAUUCCAUGGCAUAGUCAAACAACUUGCAGCCAGCAUCAUGAAAAACAAUGACAUGAGAGGGAAAAACUGGCAUUAAUUAACUCCUCCAUAUACAGAGGGAAAAGGAUACCCAUCUAGAGGCAAAAUAUCCUGUUUUCUCAUGCAACUUUUCAUGAACGCUUUUAUAACGAGCGUCGAUAUCGGAUUUAUUAUCUGAUGCAAACUGCCCCCGGCCCAAAAGUAACAAUAUAUACGCAAGUGCCAUGAAUUUGUGCAAACGCAUACCCUAUUCACUUUUGUUGGAAAGGGAAAUAUGUUUCUUUUCGUAUUAUUUUUUAAUUUUUUAUGUACACACUAUGCGUUACUUGAAGGCAAGCAGAGGCCCAGGGCAUGAUUGAUUUGUUGGAAGUACACCUGGUCGCUCGAUUGCUUCUUGGGCGGCGUUUCCGAGCCUUUUUCUAGAACCCUACACAUAUGUCGAUCGAUGAUGGAAGCGACCGGAGGAUCUUAAAACUAACAAUUCUGUCGCUGUUGGAUAUAAAGACACUAGCAUUUUUUUGGACAAACAAGAUACCAACUUUUUUGCCGUGGCUUUGCCAGCUAGGCGGGCAUCUGUAGAUUGUUUCUGACGGAAGGCAUGGAAAAAAUUGUGUGUGCCGUGUACUUUCGGCGCCGUCUCCUUUUCUCUUCUUUUUCGCCUGAAAGUCCUGGGUUAAGUAUCCUGGAAGUAGAGGGAAUGAUAACUGCAAAAGAAGGGAUCUGUAGCUGCAAAAGAAUUAUAACUGCCCAACUCUGAAAAGUUUCAGCUCCAAGACCAUGAGACAUCAGACUUAGCCAAGGAAAAUGCUCAACGGGAACUAGGUUCAUGUGAAUCUACUCCCUCCGUACUGUGAGCGUUUUUGACACUACCAAGUGUCAAAAACUUAUAUUACGGGGCGGAGGGAGGACGUUUUACAAUUUAGCAAGAAUCAUAAUUUUUAAGUUAUGAAAAAGUUGCCGUGCAUUUUCUUUUCUUUGAUAAGCAUGUGGUCUUUUCAUUAUCCAAUGCACACAACAAUAUUAUCGUACAAGUUUUGAAAUCAUAUUAUGUACUGUACCUUUUACAAUCAGCAAUAUUACUUUCUUAAUUAAGCGAAGAUGUUACAUCAAAUUGAAGAAAAUUAAACAUAAAUGACCAGAACAUUGGUGGAAAAGAACAAUCCUACCACACGGGUCAUUCUUUUCCUCUGCUCCCGCAACCUAGGAAGGGUGGAUGCCAAUCUACAGCUUCCAUGGAGAGACUACGCCCCCCCUAUUCCUCCGCCUGUCGCUUCGGCAAGAGGAGGGCGUGGGGACCCUAGUGCUUCUGAAAGGACAUCUAGCCCCUAACGAGGGUUUUGAUGUUAAUGGCACUAUGUAUAGAUGACUAACUAUUUUUCGAGUGCAUACACAUGACACACUCCCUUCAAACUGUUGUUCGGCGACCCCCUAAGCUAAAAGAACCUAGAACCCUCUGUUUUCGUUGGCAUGUACCUAGAACCGAUGGAACCUUCGACGUGUCGGACGUUCGAGGUGUCUCGGUGCCUCCAAGCUUUCUCGACCGUGGCAUACCAUGCAUGUUUAAGUGAGAUCUUAUAGAUAUCCCGUUUCUUCCCCACGAGGAAGGUGACUACUCAACACUAUCGCCACUAUUUUUCCACACAAAAAGAUCUUGAGAUCUUCCUCCCUAUCUUCCAUUCCACCUAUACUUUUAGGGAGAGCAAUAGGAGACCCCAAUCGACAAUCCCAUAAAAGCAAAACUUGAGUUCGUCGAUUUCCCACGAGAUCUUUCAUGAGUUUUACUGCUCUUGUGUUUGGUAAAAGUGAAAGGUUAGAGAGGUCAACUAGAGGGGGGGGGGGGAGUUGAAUAGAAGAGUGUGGAAUUCUAUCUCAACUUCCAAUUUGAGGGUAUUGUGAAUAAAGGAAGUUCUAUAGAUAUGCAAUCUACGGUGAAAACAACCUAUAUGACAAGCAAGCUAAUACAAUAGAUAAGCAAGAGGAACAAGCUAGAUAUCAAGAAAACACAAGUAAAGGUACGGAAAAGGAUUAACCACACCAGUCAGAGACGCGGAUGUAUCCCAAAGUUCAGACUCUUUGGGGGAGUGCUAAUCUUUGUUGGAGAAGUGCGAAGGCCAAAGCUCCCAAAUGCCACAUAGUGGCUGACCCUAGUCUCCCUUUGAGUUGUUCCAAUGGAUGCAUCUCAAAUCACUUGUGGUUAGCCUUGGAGGCAACCGCCGGACUUUACAAACUUUUCGAGCACACCACACGCAAGAUAGCUUCGGGGCUUGACUCCUAUAGCCUAGGAGUCCCAAAUCUCCAAGAGUAACAAGUUUGAUGAUCUACAAGCACGGGGGUCAUGAAUUUAUUUGGUGUAAGUGUAGAUCAAGUGAUUCUCUUUCAAUCCUCAAAAUUUGGCGGAUUUUGAGUGGAGGGAUGAGAAAUCAAGCUUUUAGGUGUUGGAAAUAUGCCCUAGAGGAAAUAAUAAAUGUUAUUAUUUAUUUUCAUGUUUGUAAUUAAUGUUUAUUUUUGUGCUAUAAUUGUAAUGGUUCUCGAGUUUGUGUAUAAACAAGAUUAAGAGGAAAUCCUAGUUGCAUGUGUGGAAUAAUAAAGACCAAGUAAAAUCUGUAGUCUCGCCUCUGUGACUAGCUCAUGUAUUUUUGAUGAUCCUAUUUUCCUGAUCAUGAGAGGAUGCUUGCAAUAAUGAGAACACAUUUAUGGAAGAAUAAGAGUGUUGGACAUACCCAACUUAAUGAUAUACUUUGGUAUCACAUCGUCAUAUUGUUAUGAGUAUAAUAAUGCAAAUGUUUAACGCAUGCCUAAUUCCUUAGACAAUGAGAGUAUUGAGUUUAUGUCGUGGUGUACUUUGGGUUCGUCAAACAUAACCCGUAGCAGGGUGAUUAGAACCUCAACUUCCAAGUGCACCCGAAAAGUGUGCCAAGGGGCUUGAUAGCUCAAGACUAGGAUUUGCUCCUGCAACGAUGGAGAUAUAUUCUUAUGGCCCUCUUGGUAUUACAGUAUCCAUCAUCAUCCCGCCAGACACUGCAUGACAUGAUCACGGGGAUGCCAUACAAAAACGAGAAAAGGGAACAAAACUGGCAACGAGAAUAACUUGGUAUAGUGAUCAAGAGUUGCUUCAUGCGAAUAUCUAUAUGUCUCGCCUCAUGUUUUGUAUAGUAUUACGAAGCAAAGAGCAUAGUGUAUCAAAACAAGGGUUCGCUCGAACAACAAUUAGUGUGAGCGUAGGGCUGAUACAUCUCCAACGCAUCUAUAAUUUUUGAUGUAUUCAUGCCAUGUUUAUAAUAAUUCUAUAUGAUUUUGGUAUGAUUUGGUUAGAACUAACCCAGGUUGACGCUGUUUUUAGCAGAACUACCGUGGUGUUGUUUUUGUGCAGAAAUAAAAGUUCUAGGAAUGCGCUGAAAAUCAACAGAGAUUUUUUCUGGAAAAUAUGAAAAAUACUAGAACAAAGAGUUACCGGAGGGGAGUCCUGUGGGGCCCACAAGGGUGGAGGGAGCACCCACCCCCCUGAUACGUCUCCAACGUAUCUAUAAUUUUUGAUUGCUCCAUGCUACUUUAUCUACUGUUUUGGACUAUAUUGGGCUUUAUUUUCUACUUUUAUAUUAUUUUUGGGACUAACCUAUUAACCGGAGGCCCAACCCAGAAUUGCUGGUUUUUUGCCUAUUUUAGUGUUUCGAAGAAACAGAAUAUCAAACGGAGUCCAAACGGAAUGAGACCUUCGGGAACGUGAUUUUCUCACCGAACGUGAUCCAGGAGACCUGGACCCUGCUCCAAGGAACAACAAAGGCGGUCACGAGGGUGGGGGCGCGCCCUCCCCCCUGGGCACGCCCGCCUACCUCGUGGGCCCUGUCGGUGUCAAAACCGACGGAUCUCGGGUAGGGGGUCCCGAACUGUGCGUCUAGGCGGAUGGUAACAGGAGACAAGGGACACUAUGUUUUUACCCAGGUUCGGGCCCUCUCGAUGGAGGUAAAACCCUACUCCUGCUUGAUUAAUAUUGAUGAUAUGGGUAGUACAAGAGUAGAUCUACCACGAGAUCAAAGAGGCUAAACCCUAGAAGCUAGCCUAUGGUAUGAUUGUUGUUUGUCCUACGGACUAAAACCCUCCGGUUUAUAUAGACACCAGAGAGGGAUAGGGUUACACAGAGUCGGUUACAAUGGGAGGAGAUCUACAUAUCCGUAUCGCCAAGCUUGCCUUCCACGCCAAGGAAUGUACCAUCCGGACACGGGACGAAGUCUUCAACCUUGUAUCUUCAUAGUCCAGGAGUCCGGCCAAAGGUCAUAGUCCAGUCAUCCGGACACCCCCUAAUCCGGGACUCCCUCAGUAGCCCCUGAACCAGGCUUCAAUGACGACGAGUCCGGCGCGCUAAUUGUCUUCGGCAUUGCAAGGCGGGUUCCUCCUCCGAAUAUUUCAUAGAAGAUGUUGAACACAAGGAUAGUGUCCGGCUCUGCAAAAUAAGUUCCACGUACCACCGUAGAGAGAAUAACAUUUGAACAAAUAUAUUCUGCUGACGUAUUCCGCAGCAUGACAUCACGCCACGGCCAAGCCUUUAUUCGAAUCGUUUUAUUGUCCCACCUCAGCGCGUUUAGCGAGGCGGUUUCGUUGGUGCGUCUUGUCAAAGCAGAGAUCGUGUCCCCGUAUUCCAGGAUUCUCAUCAAUACGGGCGUGGGUAACCCAACCACGCCAUUAAUCACGGUGCUCAGGAGAUAAUUAAGUUUUACUAGGCUGGUGGAGGUAAUAUCUUCAUCCGCCCAUAUAAGGGGAUAAGGAUCCACUCUUUCCAUUUACGCCUUCUUCCUCCUUUGCUUAUCCAUCUCCGCGCACUCGAGCUCCAACGCCCAAGCCCGCGCUUCCCACGUCAACCUUCUCCAGUCAUGUCCGGAGCGGGAGGCAGGUGGAUGGCCUCCUCCGUCAUGGAGGGGCACAUCAAAAAGUUGAGGAAGGCCGGAUACUUGUCCAACGACAUCGCGCACCGGCUCCCAGACAAGGGGCAGCUCAUCCCCACCCCUAGGCCCCAUGAGAGGGUGGUGUUCCUCCCCCAUUUCCUCUGCGGACUGGGCUUCCCACUCCACCCAUUUGUCUGGGGGCUCAUGUUCAACUACGGCCUGGACUUCCAUGAUCUGGCCCCGAACUUCAUCCUCAACAUCUCGGCGUUUAUCGUCGUGUGCGAGGCCUUCCUCCGCAUUAAGCCCCACUUCGGCUUAUGGCUAAAGACUUUCAAUGUCAAGCCAAAGGUAGUGGGCGGCCGGCAAGCGGAGUGCAGAGGCGCCAUGGUGGGCAAAAUGCCCAAUGUCACAUGGCUCGAGGGAUCCUUUGUGGAAACCAUCAAGGGGUGGCAAUCGGGGUGGUUCUACAUCACCGAGCCGCGCGACCCUGAAUGGGCAGCGGCCCCUGAAUUCCGAUCUGGCAUCCCCACACGGCUUAUCUCUUGGAAAGAGACGGGCCUGUCGUGGGGCAAUUCGGAAGAGGUGACCGGACUCCAAACCUGCAUCCAAAAUCUGAUGGACAAGAAGGUUAAACUCGUCACCGUAGUCCAGGUCAUGCUCUUCCACCGCAUCCCCCCGUGUAAAUGAUGGGCUUUUAACCUAUGGGAAUUCAACCCAAUCCAGCACCAAACUUUGUCUAGGCUUUUUGACACAACACACGAAGAUGCCUGGAAGGUGCUAUUCAAGGGCUCCGAGGUUCAUCCUCCCACUAUCGAGGAUCACGGAUUCUGCGCGAAGCGCCAAGCCAGCGUGGUGAGUUUAUUUUGCCCAUCACUGGAUAUUUCUUUUUCAUAGUUUGACUCUAUGCGGGAUCUAAGCUCCUGUUCCUUUGACAGGACUGGCAGAAGAAGUCCGGACAAAUCGACUGUCCAGCUCCUUCGCCCGAAGGUCCGGCAGAUGCCCGCUUGGCAAAGCUGCUGGUCCCGGCACCUCACGUGGUGCUGGAGAAGAAGGCCCAGAAGAAGGCCACGGGAACUCGAAAGAGUUCCCGGCGCCUGGUAGUGUCGGAUUCCUCGUCCGAGGAUUCCGAAGCGCGCACCUCCCACGAAGGCGAGGAGGAGGAAGAAGAGGCCUCUCCCCCUCCAACGGGGGAAGGAAAGAAAAGGAAGGCCACCCGACUAGGGGGGGGGGGGCGGAGGGUCCAAGAAGAGAAAAACCCUUCUCCCGGACUUCUCCACCAACACCGACGACGGCGAAGAGGAGUGGCCAUCCAGGGCCAAGCCCCUGGCGAAAUCGUAAGUAUCCGGAUAUCAGAAUAACUCACGGUGUUCCAUUACGGCACAGUAUCUUCUAACGCCGAACAUAAUCAUGCAGUCCGCCCAAGGCCCAGCUCGACGCUUUGUCGAGCGGAUCCCUGGAUUCGUCGGACGUGAACAGUCUUUCACUUCCGACCGCUACCUCCCCUCGCCCUACGGACGACGCCGAGGUGGAGUCCCAAAAGGGGACGAUCCAGGAGGAGGUAGCCCCGGAGGCGCCGCAAGGCGACCUUCUGGAUUCCAGGCGCCAAGGGGAUAAAACCCCAAAGGGCUCUAAGUCUGGCCCUGGACCGGACGCCGCACCAGAACCUUCAGUGGUUCCGGAGUCCAGCAGGCGGCCCCCUCUUAAGAAGGGCAAGCCUACGACGCCGGUGACCCCCGUCCAACCGGAGGCACUGGACAAUUUGCUAGAGGUGCUUAAAGGUGCCUCCAUCGACGAGGAGCACCGCACUAUUAUGAGUGCGGUGGUCAAGAAGGUUCAGUCCGCCAAGAGCGGGCUGACAGAAGCCUGUGCCAGCCUUCUAACAGGCUUCGAGGUAUGUAUUAAGAUAUGUAAAAAUAUUACCGCAUAGAUAGUAGCCCCUGAUGCUCAGUUUGGUGUUCGGGAAGAAAAGCCGGACUAAGGAUCUAAAAAGAUAUACGCAGGAGUCUAACAUAAAUAUGUCAAUAUGGGAAUGUAGGAUGCGCUGCUGACCUCUGCCGCACUGACUGCGGAGGUCGAUGCAUUGAAGCAGAGCCUCGAGCGGUCCGAGAACGAGCUCGGCCUUGCCAAGAAGCAGCUCGAGGACAAGGAAGGUAAAUAGUACCUGAUGUUAGUAUAUAAAAAAUACCUGGUUGCAAAAAAUGACAGGACCAACGUGAGUGUUACAAGGGCCACAACCGAGGUGGCGACCCUAAAGGAAGCACUGUCCAAGGCCGAAGACAAUGCGGCCGUGGAGCGCACCGAGCGAGAAAAGCAGGAGGUGCGGGUGGCGGAGGUGCGGCAAGAGCUCCAUACUCUUGUGAAGAAACACGAGAGAUUGGAGCUUGACUCAAAGGCUCGAGAGUCCGAGCUUGCCUCGGCUCUUGAGAGAGCCAAAUCCGCCAAGGCCGAAGCCCAAAAAGCCCUCCAGGAAAUUGAGGCGAUGAAAAAGAUAGCGGCGGGUAAGGCAUUCUUUAUGCAAAGCAAGCAUGUGAAAGUAAGUUACUUGUUACUUAUCCGAAUCCGGAGCUCUCCAGGAGCAUUUGCAGAUCUGCCCCGCAGUGUGUCCGAUGCUGCCGCAUUCUACCGAGCCGAGGAAGGGAGCUCGACGGAGAAGGUGUUCUGGUCCCAGUAUGCUGAGGCCAGACACCCGGUGCCCUUGAGCGACCAGCUGAAGCAGCUGGUCGAGCUCCAUAAGGUAGCCGAACAGGCCAUGAAGGGCCUUAUAGUCCGGCUAUGGCCUGGCGAGGUCGUGGCCGGGAGCUACUUUGGGCUGGUGAGGCGGCUGGUGGAUGCUUGUCCACGGCUUGAAGUCAUCAAGCGCUCCGUAUGCAUCGAAGGCGCCUGUAGGGCCCUUGCUCAUGCUAAGGUACACUGGGGCAAGAUGGAUGCUGAGAAGCUGGUGACAGAUGGGCCUUCGGAGGGCAAGGAGCAUCGCAAGCCUGAGAUGUAUUAUGAGGGCGUCCUGAAGGGUUCCCGCCUUGUGGCAAAUCAAUGUUCCAAGGAUUUAAUUUUUGAGUAAACUCGCUCGUGUUUAUCCUGUGCGCUGAAAACUUGUUCAUGUGCGCUAAGCAACGCUUUUUGAAUUUAAAAUAUUACCUUCUGUGCGACCGUUUAGUAAAUCUGAGAGAUGCGAGUCGUCGGCUUCUGCCCCCAUGCCGCGAGUGCUGGGGUGUUCGGGAUAAACCUGAGCGCUCUUGUUCCCAUUCUUGGGUCCUUCGAGGGAGGCACUCAGCACAACGAACAAGGCAAUCGGACUAUAAUGCUUUAUCACUCUCACUUAGCCAUAGAAUUCUAUAAUUUUAAAUUUCGGCGAAGCCCCUAGUAUUCGGAAGACCGAGUUUGGGGCGCUAUCCACGCCUAGGCCGGACAAAGCCAGCUCCUCGCUCUAAGCGGCAUAAGUCUUUAGGGACUCGAAAACCUCUCGAACAGCGACCGGCUCUCGCCCUAUCAUGACGGUCAGUUUUAGCUUUCUCUACUGAGGUGCUUAACCCAUCUCAACUGGGGCACAAUCGCAGUAGUUCUCCCAGUGCUACCUUAGCCGAUAUAACGGAACGUAAGGUACCAAAAUAUGGGAGCCGGGCAAACCCAACUAUUGACCCAAGACAUGAUUCAGAGCCGAUGCAUAUAAUGCUAUAAGUUCGGGGUGCCGCACUCGUGAGAGUGUUCGGACUUCUCACACCAUAUUCUGGGGUACUUAAGCCCCUGGUGUACUAGCCGUACCAAAGUGUGCGGUUGCAUAAUGUCAUAACUGAACAUAUUUAAAGAAAAAAAAAUGAAUGCAAUAAUAGGCAAGAGCUAUGUAUUGUUUAUUAAAGGGCUGCUGUAAAAGUAGAACGAUACAAAUAGUGCGAUAAGCAAAAGGUGGGGUUGUUUGACAUGUCCCCCUCCAGGGGCAAGCUAUGAAACUUUAUGUAAGACAGGUAUUUAGCUUGCUAUAGAGACCACCUGAACGUUCGACGUAGCUUGCUGCUUCCCUGGCUGUUGCAUCGUGUGUUCGGCGAUUAUACUGCCGGACAGGCCUUCCGGAUAGUGGAAUCCUUAAAGUAAGAAAAAGGAAAUGACAAAGCUUGGAGCCCAUGGUGCGGUUGAGCCACAUGUUGGGCGUGCCGUGGUUGGGCCCCUCCCCGUAUGCCCAUGGUACUUCCAGAGCGUAAUUAUGUACGCGUAACACUGGUUUCGCAAUUUCCCGAGGGCUAGGGUUGGGGCCGCACUGCUACGCUUGCUCGGAACGUGCCAGGCGGUCUAUUUGUAGGCUACUCCGGGCGCGCUUGACGGUGUCCGGACGUUUAAUAGCCGGACUGGAGAAUUGCCUUGAGAGGCUACUUUGUACUUCCGCCGCUAGGGCUGCCGUAUGCUCCUCCGUUCGGAGAGAGCAUUCGGUGUUUCCGUUGACCGUAAUGACUCCUCGAGGGCCUGGCAUCUUGAGCUUGAGGUAUGCGUAAUGCGGCACCGCAUUGAACUUUGCAAAGGCGGUUCAUCCGAGCAGGGCGUGAUAGCCACUAUGGAACGGGACUAUGUCGAAGAUUAAAUCCUUGCUUUGGAAAUUAUCCGGGGAUCCGAAGACCACUUCCAGUGUAACUGAGACAGUACAGUUGGCCUCUACACCUGGUAUGACGCCUUUAAAGGUCGUCUUUGUGGGUUUAAUCCUUGAGGGAUCUAUGCCCAUUUUUCGCACUGUAUCCUAAUAAAGCAGGUUCAGGCUGCUGCCGCCGUCCAUAAGGACUCUGGUGAGGUGGAAUCCGUCAAUGAUUGGGUCUAGAACCAAUGCGGCAAAUCCGCCGUGGCGGAUGCUAGUGGGGUGGUCCCUUCGAUCGAAAGUGAUCGGGCAGGAGGACCAUGGGUUGAACUUUGGGGCGACUGGCUCCAACGCAUAUACAUCCCUGAGUGCAUGCUUCCGUUCCCUUUUAGGGAUGUGGGUUGCGUAUAUCAUGUUCACCGUCCGCACUUGUGGGAGAAAGCCCUUCUGUCCCCUAUUGUUCGGCAGCCGGGGCUCCUCCUCGUCCUUGCUAUGCAGCCCCUUGUCUCUGUUCUCGGCGCUUAGCUUGCCUGCCUGCUUGAACACCCAACAAUGCCUGUUGGUGUGAUUGGCUGGUUUUUCAGGGGUUCCGUGUAUCUGGCACAAGCGAUCAAGUAUUCGGUCCAAAUUGGACUGGCCCAGAGUAGUUCUUUUGAAUGGCUUUUUCCGCUGACCGCGUUUAGGGCCUCGGAAUCCGGCAUUAACUGUCGUAUCCUCUGCGUUGUCGCCGUUAAUGUGGCGCUUGUGUUUGUUGCGACGCGACCUGCCAUUGUUGUCCUUGGUAUCUGAAUUACCAGGGCUCUUGGUCAUGUUAUUGCUACGAGCUAGCGAGCUGUCUUCUCCCGCGCAAAAGCGGGUCAUGAGUGUUGUGAGGGCUGCCAUGGAUUUCAGCUUUUCCUGUCGUAGGUGCCGGGCAAGCCAUUCGUCACGGAUGUUAUGUUUGAAGGCUCCAAGGGCCUCCGCGUCCGGACAGUCGACUAUUUGAUUUUUCUUGGUUAGGAACCGUGUCCAGAAUUGUCUGGCCGAUUCAUCUGGUUGCUGGAUGUUGUGGCUUAGGUCAUCGGUGUCUGGUGGUCGCACAUAGGUGCCCUGAAAAUUGUCGAGGAAUGCAGCUUCCAGGUCCUCCCAGCAACCAAUUGACUCUGCUGGCAAGCUGUUAAGCCAAUGCCGAGCUGGUCCUUUAAGCUUGAGUGGGAGGAAUUUAUAGCAUGUAGAUCAUCACCACAGGCCAUGUGGAUAUGAAGAAGAUAGUCCUCGAUCCAUACCGCCGGAUCUGUUGUGCCAUCGUAUGGUUCGAUGUUUACGGGUUUAAAACCCUCGGGGAUUUGAUGAUCCAUUACUUCAUCUGUGAAGCAUAGUGGGUGUGCGGCGCCUCUGUACUGGGCUAUAUCACGACGUAGCUCAAAUGAGCUUUGUCUGCUGUGUUCGGCCUGGCCAUAUUUUCCAUAUCCUGCAUGACGAUUAUCAUUACGUGCCGUGGGGCGCCCACGCGAUCCGUAGAUCGAUCUUGUUUGCCUUGCCUUGUUCUCCAAUAUGUCUUGUAGGUCCGGUGCAUUUCCCUGUGCCUUGGUAUAGCGGCGCCGAGGUGCGGCUUGAAUUGAUGGCCGAGAGGCCUCUCUGUCGCGGCCACGAGGUGGCCGGUCGGCCGCGUCAUGCACUGGUGAUGCGGGUUUGGGUGCUUCCUCCUCUAAUCGGGGUAGCACCUUGCGGUUUGGGUAGCUCUUGGAGGGGCGUUCGAGUUCGUAUUCCUUGGCCGCCAGGAUUUCGGUCCAUCUGUCGGCUAGCAAGUCUUAGUCAGCUCUAAGCUGCUGCUAUUUUUUCUUGAGGCUGCUUGCCGUGGCCAUAAGCCUGCGUUUGAAACGCUCUUGUUCGAUGGGAUCCUCAGGCACGACAAAUUCAUCGUUGUCGAGGCUUGCCUCGUCUUCGAAGGGAGGCAUGUAAUUAUCGUCCUCUAUCUCUCUGUCUGCCGCUUUCUCAUGAGGGCUGGUCUCUCCAUCCUCCUGUGCUGAAUCCAGCUAGAGGGGGUCUUCGCACUGUCCGGGGUGUUAUUAUUUCCUAUGCCGGAAUCACCGUUUUUGCUUUGGCGGGAUUUAGAGCGGCGCCGCUGACGCCGGCGCUUAGGCUGCUUCUUGGAGGGGUCAUCCUCCGUUGUUCCAUCGCCAUCCCCUUCUUUUGGGAUGUCCACCAUGUAUAUGUCGUAUGACAAGGUGACCUUCCAGUGCCCUAGAGACGCUGGGUCUUGGUCGUCUCCUGCAUCGUUGUCCAUACCGUCGAUGUCUUCGAAGUCGAAGUCGAGCAUGUCAGUUAAAUCAUCGACAGUGGCUACGAAGUGGGUGGUGGGUGGGUUUUGAAUUUCUUCAUCGUCCACAUCCCAACCUUGCUGGCCAUAGUCCGGCCAGGGCUCUCCUGAUAAAGAGAGAGACUUUAAUGAAUUUAGAAUGUCGCCAAAGGGCGAGUGCUGAAAGAUGUCCGCGGCGGCGAACUCCAUGAUCGGCACCCCAUUGGGUUCGAUUGGCAGGGGCGCGGAAGGUUCGGAGUCCGGAAAGGAGUCCGACAUCUUGGAGUCACGAGCUUUGCAAAGGACAAGGCUAGUGUUCGGCUCGAUCGCCAUGGAGAUUGCAGCCCCCGAGGCGGUGUCCAGCCACCCGUCCUCGAUUGGCGCAGUCGGCUCCGAACUAAGGGUCGGAGUGGACACUUGGGCGGCCUCCAGGGCACUGUCCGGCGGCAGAGCUAGAUCAUGCCCAUCGUGAAAGUGCAGCGCGCUUUGCCGUGGCUCGAAUCCGUCGAAGAUUAAGCCUCCACGGAUGUCUGUCGUGUAGUUCAAACUUCCAAAUCUGACCUGAUGGCCAGGGGCGUAGCUUUCGAUCUACUCCAGAUGGCCAAGCGAAUUGGCCCGCAGUGAAAAGCCGCCGAAUACGAAGAUUUGUUCGAGGAGAAAAGUCUCACCCUGGACUGCAUCGUUGUUGAUGAUCGGGGGAGCCAUCGGGCCUAAAGAUGACGACACAGAGAAACUCUCAAUGAAAGCACCAAUGUCGGUGUCAAAACCGGCAGAUCUCGGGUAGGGGGUCCCGAACUGUGCGUCUAGGCGGAUGGUAACAGGAGACAAGGGACACGAUGUUUUUACCCAGGUUUGGGCCCUCUCGAUGGAGAUAAAACCCUACUCCUGCUUGAUUAAUAUUGAUGAUAUGGGUAGUACAAGAGUAGAUCUACCACGAGAUCAAAGAGGCUAAACCCUAUAAGCUAGCCUAUGGUAUGAUUGUUGUUCGUCCUAUGGACUAAAACCCUCCGGUUUAUAUAGCCACCAGAGAGGGCUAGGGUUACACAGAGUCGGUUACAAUGGGAGGAGAUCUACAUAUCCGUAUCGCCAAGCUUGCCUUCCACGCCAAGGAAUGUCCCAUCCGGACACGGGACGAAGUCUUCAACCUUGUAUAUUCAUAGUCCAGGAGUCCGGCAAAAGGUCAUAGUCCGGUUAUCUGGCCACCCCCUAAUCCGGGACUCCCUCAGGCCCCCUGUUGCUCCACCGACGUACUCCUUCCUCCUAUAUAUACCUACGUACCCCCGACAGAUCAAAUAUGGAGCCAAAAACCUAAUUUCACCGCAGCAACUUUCUGUAUCCACGAGAUCCCAUCUUGGGGCCUGUUCCGGAGCUCCGCCACAGGGGGCAUCCACCACAGAGGGCUUCUAAUUCAACACCAUAGCCUCUCCGAUGAAGUGUGAGUAGUUUACCUCAGACCUACGGGUCCAUAGUUAGUAGCUAGAUGGCUUCUUCUCUCUUUUUGGAUCUCAAUACAAUGUUCUCCCCCUCUCUUGUGGAGAUCUAUUCGAUGUAAUCUUCUUUUUGCGGUGUGUUUGUUGAGACCGAUGAAUUGUGGGUUUAUGAUCCGGCUUAUCUAUGAAUAAUAUUUGAAUCUUCUCUGAAUUCUUUUAUGUAUGAUUGAGUUAUCUUUGCAAGUCUCUUCGAAUUAUCCGUUUGGUUUGGCCAACUAGAUUGGUAGUUCUUGCAAUGGGAUUAGUGCUUAGCUUUGGGUUCGAUCUUGCGGUGUCCUUACCCAGUGACAGAAAGGGUUGCAAGGCACGUAUUGUAUUGUUGCCAUCGCGGAUAACAAGAUGUUUUUUUUAUCAUAUUGCAUGAAAUUAUCCCUCUACAUCAUGUCAUCUUGCUUAAGGCAUUACUCUGUUUUUAACUUAAUACUCUAGAUGCAUGCUGGAUAGUGGUCGAUGAGUGGAGUAAUAGUAGUAGAUGCAGAAUCGUUUCGGUUUACUUGUCUCGGACGUGAUUCCUAUAUACAUGAUCAUGCCUAGAUAUACUCAUAACUAUGCUCAAUUCUAUAAUUUGCUCAACAGUAAUUUGUUCACCCACCGUAGAAUACUUAUGCUCUUGAGAGAAGCCACUAGUGAAACCUAUGGCCCCCGGUCUAUUCUCAUCAUAUCAAUCUCCAUUACUUUAAUACUUGCUUUGUUUUUACUUUGCCUUUUACUUUUCACUUUGCAUCUCUAUAUCAAAAAUACCAAAAAUAUUAUUUAUCAUCUCUAUCAGAUCUCACCCUCGUAAGUGACCUUGAAGGGAUUGACAACCCCUAAUCACAUUGGUUGCGAGUAGCUAUCGUUUUGUGCAGGUAUGAGGGACUUAUGCAUGGCCUCCUACUGGAUUGAUACCUUGGUUCUCAAAAACUGAGGGAAAUACUUAUGCUACUUUGCUGCAUCAUCCUCUCCUCUUCGGGGAAAUCCAACGCAGUGCUCAAGAGGUAGCAAGAAGAAUUUCUGGCACCGUUGCCGGGGAGUUUGCGCAAAAGUCAACCAUACCAAGUACCCAUCACAAUCCCUAUCUCUCGCAUUACAUUAUUUGCCUCCCGUUUUCCUCUCCCCCCACUUCACCCUUGCCGUUUUAUUCGCCCUCUCUUUCCCAUUCUCCUCCUCUCUUUCCCUUUCGCCUUUUUCUCGUUUGCCUUUUUGUUUGCUCGUGUGUUGGAUUGCUUGUUUGUCGCGAUGGAUCAAGAUGCUACCAAAUUGUGUGACUUCACCAAUACCAAUAAUAAUGAUUUCCUUAGCACUCUGAUUGCUCCUCUUGCCAAUACUGAAUCUUGUGAAAUCAAUACUACUUUGUUGAAUCUUGUUAUGAAAGAUCAAUUCGCCGGUGUUCCUAGUGAAGAUGCCGCUACUCAUCUGAAUAGCUUCAUUGAUUUAUGUGAUAUGCAAAAGAAAAAACAUGUCAAUAAUGAUGUCGUUAAAUUGAAGCUAUUUCCUUUUUCGCUUAGAGAUCGUGCUAAAGCGUGGUUUUCAUCUUUGCCUAAAAAUAGUAUUGAUUCUUGGAACAAAUGCAAAGAUGCUUUUAUCUCUAAGUAUUUCCCUCCUGCUAAGAUUAUCUCUCUUAGGAACGAUAUUAUGAAUUUUAAGCAACUUGAUCAUGAACAUGUUGCACAAGCUUGGGAGAGAAUGAAAUUAAUGAUACAUAAUUGUCCUACUCAUGGUUUGAACUUGUGGAUGAUUAUACAAUUUUUUUAUGCCGGAUUGAAUUUUGCUUCUAGAAAUCUUUUAGAUUCGGCCGCGGGAGGCACUUUUAUGGAAAUCACUCUAGGAGAUUCUACUAAACUUCUAGAUAAUAUUAUGGUAAAUUAUUCUCAAUGGCAUACUGAAAGAUCUACUAAUAAAAAAGUGCAUGCGAUAGAAGAAAUUAAUGUUUUGAGUGGAAAGAUGGAUGAACUUAUGAAAUUAUUUGCUACUAAGAGUGUUUCUUCUGAUCCUAAUGAUAUGCCCUUGCCUACUUUGAUUGAGAAUAAUAAUGAAUCUAUGGAUGUGAAUUUUGUUGGUAGGAAUAAUUUUGGUAACAACGCGUAUAGAGGGAAUUUUAAUCCUAGGCCUUUUCCUAGCAAUCCUUCUAAUAAUUAUGGAAAUUCCUACAACAACUCUUAUGUAAAUUUUAAUAAGACGCCCUCUGAAUUUGAGAGUAGUGUUAAAGAGUUUAUGAAUUCACAAAAGAAUUUUAAUGCUUUGCUUGAAGAGAAAUUGCUUAAAGUUAAUGAUUUGGCUAGGAACGUUGAUAGAAUUUCUCUUUAAAUUGAUUCUUUAAAGCUUAGAUCUAUUCCUCCUAAACAUGAUAUCAAUGAGUCUCUCAAAGCUAUGAGAAUUUCCAUUGAUGAGUGCAAAGAAAGAACCGCUAGGAUGCAUGCUUCUAAAGAUGCCUUUAUUAAGCGUGUUCUUGCAAUUCCUAUGAAAAUCAAGAUGAAGAUCUAAAAGUUAUUGAUGUGUCCCCCAUUAAAUCUUUGUUUUGCAAUAUGAAUCUUGAUGAAACUGAAUAUGAUCUUCCUUUACCUAAAAGGCGUUCUAAGAAUUCGGAGUUUUUAGACCUUGAUGAUGAAAUUGAUGAAAGUGGGAUUGAAAGAAAUAAACACCUAGAUGUUGCUAAACCCACUAUUUUGGAUCUCAAGGAAUUUAAUUAUGAAAAUUGCUCUCUAAUUGAUUGUAUUUCCUUGUUGCAAUCCGUGCUAAAUUCUCCUCAUGCUUAUAGUCAAAAUAAGGCCUUUACCAAACACAUUGUUGAUGCCUUGAUGCAAUCUUAUGAAGAAAAACUUGAGUUGAAAGUUUCUAUCCCUAGAAAACUCUAUGAUGAGUGGGAACCUACUAUUAAAAUUAAAAAUAAAAAUUAUGAGUUUCAUGCCUUGUGUGAUUUGGGUGCUAGUGUCUCCACUAUUCCCAAAACUUUGUGUGAUUUGCUAGAUUUCCGUGACUUUGAAGAUUGCUCUCUAAACUUGCAUCUUGCGGAUUCCACUAUUAAAAAGCCUAUGAGAAGAAUUAAUGAUGUUCUUAUUGUUGCAAAUAGGAAUUAUGUGCCCGUAGAUUUUAUUGUUCUUGAUAUAGAUUGCAAUCCUUCAUGUCCUAUUAUUCUUGGUAGACCUUUCCUUAGAACGAUUGGUGCGAUUAUUGAUAUGAAGGAAGGGGAUAUUAGAUUCCAAUUUCCUUUAAAGAAGGGCAUGGAACACUUCCCUAGAAAUAAAAUAAAAUUACCAUAUGAAUCUAUCAUGAGAGCCACUUAUGGAUUGCCUACCAAAGAUGGCAAUACCUAGAUCUAUCUUUGCUUUUAUGCCUAGCUAGGGGCGUUAAACGAUAGCGCUUGUUGGGAGGCAACCCAAUUUUAUUUUUUGUUUUUUGCUUUUGCUUCUGAUUAGGAAUAAAUAAUCCAUCUACCCUCUGGUUAGAUGUGGUUUUAUGUUUUAAUUAGUGUUUGUGCCAAGUAGAACCUAUAGGAUAACCUACGAUGAUAGUUGAUUUGAUCCUGCUGAAAAACAAAAACUUUGCACGCACGAAUAUAAUUUUGUUAAAUCACAGGAACGUGCUUUUGCGUUGAUUCUUUUUGCUGAUGUUCAAUAGAAAAAAUUUCAGGACUUCCUAUUUUGGUAGAAGUUUUAGAGUUCCAGAAGUUUGCGUUAGUUACAGAUUACUACAGACUGUUCUGUUUUUGACAGAUUCUGUUUUGCGUGUGUUGUUUGCUUAUUUUGAUGAAUCUAUGGCUAGUAAAAUAGUUUAUAUUCCAUAGAGAAGUUGGAAUACAGUAGGUUUAACACCAAUAUAAAUAAAGAAUGAUUUCAUUACAGUACCUUAAAUUAGUCUUCUGUUUUCUUUCACUAAUGGAGCUCACGAGAUUUCUAUUGAGUUUUGUGUUGUGAAGUUUUCAAGUUUUGGUUGAAUUCUUUUGAUGGAUUAUGGAACAAGGAGCGGCAAGAGCCUAAGAUUGGGGAUGACCAUGGCACCCCCAAGAUAAUCCAAGGACACCAAAAAGUCAAAGCUUGGGGAUGCCCCGGAAGGCAUCCCCUCUUUCGUCUACUUCCAUCGGUAAUUUACUUGGAGCUAUAUUUUUAUUCACCACAUGUUAUGUGUUUUGCUUGGAGCGUCUUGUAUUAUUUGCGUCUUUGCUUGUUAGUUUACCACAAUCAUCCUUGCUGUACACACAUUUUGAGUGAGCCAUACACAAAUUGGAAUUUGCUAGAAUACUCUAUAUGCUUCACUUAUAUCUUUUGAGCUUGAUAGUUUUGCUCAUAGUGCUUCACUUAUAUCUUUUGAGCGUGAUACUUUUUGCUCUAGUACUUCACUUAGAUCUUUUAGAGCACGGUGGUGGAUUUGUUUUAAAGAAACUAUUGAUCUCUCAUGCUUCACUUAGAUUAUUUUGAUAGUCGUUAAUAGCAUGGUAAUUUGCUUAAUAUUAAUAUACUUGGUAUUCAAGAUAUGUGAAACUUUCUUUUGAGUACGUUGAAUACUAAGAUAAGUUUGAUGCUUGAUAAUUGUUUUGAGAUAUGGAGGUGAUAAUAUCAAAGUAAUGCUAGUUGGAUUAUGAAUUUAAAGAAUGCUUGUGUUGAAGUUUGUGAUUCCCGUAGCAUGCACGUAUGGUGAACCGCUUUGUGAUGAAGUUGGAGCACAAUUUUAUUUAUUGAUUGUCUUCCUUAUGAGUGGCGGUCGGGGACGAGCGAUGGUCUUUUCCUACCAAUCUAUACCCCUAGGAGCAUGCGCAUAGUGCUUUGGUUUUUGAUGACUUCUAAAUUUUUGCAACAAGUGCAUGCGUUCUUUUGAUUAAUGUUGAGUCCAUGGAUUAUACACACCCUUUCACCCUUCCACCAUUGCUAGCCUCUCUAAUACCGCGCACUUUUCGCCGGUAUCAUACACCCACCAUAUACCUUCCUCAAAACAGCCACCAUACCUACCUAUUAUGGCAUUACCAUAGCCAUUCCAAGAUAUAUUGCCAUGCAACUUUCCACCGUUCCGUUCAUAUGACACACAUUACUUUUGUCAUAUUGCUUUUUGCAUGAACAUGUAGUUGACAUUGUAUUUGUGGCAAGACCACCUUCAUAAUUUUCAUACAUGUCGCUCUUGAUUUAUUGCAUAUCCCGGUACACCGCCGGAGGCAUUCAUAUAGAGUCAUAUUUUGUUCUAAGUAUCGAGUUGUAAUUGUUGAGUUGUAAGAAAAAUAAAAGUGUGAUGAUCAUCAUUAUUAGAGCAUUGUCCCAGUGAGGAAAGGAUGAUGGGGACUAUGAUUCCCCCAUAAGUCGGGAUGAGACUCCAGACGAAAAAAGAGAAAAAAAAGAGGCCAGAAAAAAAGAGAGAAAAGGCCCAAAGAAAAAAAAAAUGAAAAAAUGAGAGAAAAAAAAGAGAAGGGACAAUGCUACUAUCCUUUUACCACACUUGUGCUUCAAAGUAGCACCAUGAUCUUCAUGAUAGAGAGUCUCAUAUGUUGUCACUUUCAUAUACUAGUGGGAAUUUUUCAUUAUAGAACUUGGCUUGUGUAUUCAAAUGAUGGGCUUCCUCAAAAGUGCCCCAGGUCUUCGUGAGCAAGCAAGUUGGAUGCACACCCACUUAGUUUCUUUUGUUGAGAUUUCAUAUAUUUAUAGCUCUAGUGCAUCCGUUGCAUGGCAAUCCCUACUCACUCACAUUGAUAUCUAUUAAUGGGCAUCUCCUUAGCCCGUUGAUACGCCUAGUUGAUGUGAGACUAUCUUCUCCUUUUUUGUCUUCUCCACAACCACCAUUCUAUUCCACAUAUAGUGCUAUGUCCAUGGAUCACGCUCAUGUAUUGCGUGAAAGUUGAAAGAGUUUGAGAUUACUAAAGUAUGAAACAAUUGCUUGGCUUGUCAUUGGGGUUGUGCAUGAUUAAAUACUUUGUGUGAUGAAGAUAGAGCAACAGCCAGACUAUAUGAUUUUGUAGGGAUAACUUUCUUUAGCCAUGCUAUUUUGAGAAGACAUGAUUGCUUUGAUUAGUAUGCUUGAAGUAUUAUUAUUUUUAUGUCAAUAUGAACUUUUGUCUUGAAUCUUUCGGAUCUGAAUAUUCAUACUACAAUUAAGAAGAUUUACAUUGAAAUUAUGCCAAAGUAUCACUCCGCAUCAAAAAUUCUUUUUUUAUCAUUUACCUACUUGAGGACGAGCAGGAAUUAAGCUUGGGGAUGCCUGAUACGUCUCCAACGUAUCUAUAAUUUUUGAUUGCUCCAUGCUACUUUAUCUACUGUUUUGGACUAUAUUGGGCUUUAUUUUCCACUUUUAUAUUAUUUUUGGGACUAACCUAUUAACCGGAGGCCCAACCCAGAAUUGCUGGUUUUUUGCCUAUUUUAGUGUUUCGAAGAAACAGAAUAUCAAACGGAGUCCAAACGGAAUGAGACCUUCGGGAACGUGAUUUUCUCACCGAACGUGAUCCAGGAGACCUGGACCCUGCUCCAAGGAACAACAGAGGCGGUCACGAGGGUGGGGGGCGCGCCCUCCCCCCUGGGCGCGCCCCUACAUCGUGGGCCCCAUGUUGCUCCACCGAUGUACUCCUUCCUCCUAUAUAUACCUACGUACCCCCGACAGAUCAAAUACUGAGCCAAAAACCUAAUUCCACCGCCGCAACUUUCUGUAUCCAUGAUAUCCCAUCUUGGGGCCUGUUCCGGAGCUCCGCCGGAGGGGGCAUCGACCACGGAGGGCUUCUACAUCAACACCAUAGCCUCUCCGAUGAAGUGUGAGUAGUUUACCUCAGACCUACGGGUCCAUAGUUAGUAGCUAGAUGGCUUCUUCUCUCUUUUUGGAUCUCAAUACAAUGUUCUCCCCCUCUCUUGUGGAGAUCUAUUCGAUGUAAUCUUCUUUUUGCGGUGUGUUUGUUGAGACCGAUGAAUUAUGGGUUUAUGAUCCAGCUUAUCUAUGAAUAAUAUUUGAAUCUUCUCUGAAUUAUUUUAUGUACGAUUGAGUUAUCUUUGCAAGUCUCUUCGAAUUAUCCGUUUGGUUUGGCCAACUAGAUUGGUAGUUCUUGCAAUGGGAGAAGUGCUUAGCUUUGGGUUCGAUCUUGCGGUGUCCUUACCCAGUGACAGAAAGGGUUGCAAGGCACAUAUUGUAUUGUUGCCAUCAAGGAUAACAAGAUGGUUUUUUUAUCAUAUUGCAUGAAGUUAUCCCUCUACAUCAUGUCAUCUUGCUUAAGGCGUUACUCUGUUUUUUACUUAAUACUCUAGAUGCAUGCUGGAUAGUGGUCGAUGAGUGGAGUAAUAGUAGUAGAUGCAGAAUCGUUUCGGUUUACUUGUCUUGGACAUGAUGCCUAUAUACAUGAUCAUGCCUAGAUAUACUCAUAACUAUGCUCAAUUCUAUAAUUUUCUCAACAGUAAUUUGUUCACCCACCAUAGAAUACUUAUGCUCUUGAGAGAAGCCACUAGUGAAACCUAUGGCCCCCGGUCUACUCUCAUCAUAUCAAUCUCCAUUACUUUAAUACUUGCUUUGUUUUUUACUUUGCCUUUUACUUUUCACUUUGCAUCUCUAUAUCAAAAAUACCAAAAACAUUAUUUAUUAUCUCUAUCAGAUCUCACCCUCAUAAGUGACCGUGAAGGGAUUGACAGCCCCUAAGCGCGUUGGUUGCGAGUAGCUAUCGUUUUGUGCAGGUACGAGGGACUUAUGCAUGGCCUCCUACUGGAUUGAUACCUUGGUUCUCAAAAACUGAGGGAAAUACUUACGCUACUUUGCUGCAUCAUCCUCUCCUCUUCAAGGAAAUCCAACGCAGUGCUCAAGAGGUAGCUCCCCCUGGGGCGCUCCCCUGUGCCUCGUGAACUCCCCGUGGGUCCCUGAGGGAGUUCCGGACUAGGGGGUGUCCGGAUAGCCGAACUAUCAUGAUCGGUCGGACUCCAAGACUAUGAAGAUACAAGAUUGAAGACUUCGUCCCGUGUCCGGAUGGGACUUUCCUUGGCGUGGAAGGCAAUCUUGGCGAUACGGAUAUGUAGAUCUCCUACCAUUGUAACCGACUCUGUGUAACCCUAGCCCUCUCUGGUGUCUAUAUAAACCGGAUGGCUUUAGUCCAUAGGACGAACAACAAUCAUACCAUAGGCUAGCUUCUAGGGUUUAGCCUCCUUGAUCUCGUGGUAGAUCCACUCUUGUAACACACAUCAUCAAUAUUAAUCAAGCAGGAUGUAGGGUUUUACCUCCAUCAAGAGGGCCCGAACCUGGGUAAAACAUCAUGUCCCUUGUCUCCUGUUACCAUCCGCCUAGAUGCACAGUUCGGGACCCCAUACCCGAGAUCCGCCGGUUUUGACACCGACAUUGGUGCUUUCAUUGAGAGUUCCUCUGUGUCGUCACCGAUAGGCUCGAUGGCUUCUUCGAUCAUCAUCAACAACGCAGUCCAGGGUGAGACCUUUCUCCUCAGACAGAUCUUCGUAUUCGGCGGCUUUGCACUACGGGCCAAUUCGCUUGGCCGUCUGGAGCAGAUCGAAAGCUACGCCCCUGGCCGUCAGGUCAGAUUUGGAAGUUUGAACUUCACGGCUGACAUCCGCGGGGACUUGAUCCUCGAUGGAUUCGAGCCACAGCCGAGCGUGCCGCAUUGUCACGGCGAGCAUGAUUUAGCUCUGCAGCCGGACAGUACCCUGGAGGCCGCACUCGAACCCACUCCGAUCUUCAAUUCGGAGCUGGCUGCGUAGAUCGAGGACGGAUGGCUAGACACCGCCUCGGGGGCUGCAACCUCUACGGCGAUAGAGAUGAACACUGACCUUGUCCCUCAUGAAGCUCGUGACUCUGAGGUGCCGGACUCCUCGCCGGACUCCGAACCUCCCGCGCCCCCUCCGAUCGAAUCCGAUUGGGCACCGAUCAUGGAGUUCACUGCAGCGGACAUCUUUCAACACUCACCUUUUGGCGACAUCUUGAGUUCGCUAAAGUAUCUCUCGUUAUCAGGAGAGCCCUGGCCGGACUGCGGUCAGGAUAGUUGGGAUGCGGACAACAAAGAAAUUCAAAGCCCACCCACCACCCACUUGGUAGCCGCUGUCGACGAUCUAACCGACAUGCUAGACUACGACUCCGAAGACAUCGACGGUAUGGACGACGAUGCCGGAGACGACCAAGAACCAGCGCCUACUGGGCACUGCAAAGCCACCUCAUCAUAUGACAUAUACGUGGUGGAUAUCCCAAAAGAUGGGAAUGGCGAAGGAACAGCGGAGGAUGACCCCUCCAAGAAGCAGCCCAAGCGCCGGCGUCAGCGGCGCCGCUCUAAAUCCCGCCACAGCAAGAAUGAAGACUCUGGCACCGGAGAUAAUAAUACACCGGACAGUGCCAAAGACAACCCACUCCAGCAAGAUGCAGCGCAGGAGGACGGAGAUGCCAGGCCUCAUGAGAGAGCGGCAGAAGAAGAGGUAGAGGAUUAUAUGCCUCCCUCCGGAGACGAGGCAAGCCUCGACGACGAUGAAUUCGCCGUGCCUGAGGAUCCCGUCGAACAAGAGCAUUUUAAACGCAGGCUUAUGGCCACGGCGAACAGCUGCAAGAAAAAGUAGCAACAGCUUAGAGCUGAUCAAGAUCUGCUAGCCGACAGAUGGACUAAAGUCCUCGCGGCCGAAGAGCAUGAGCUUGAACGCCCCUCCAAAAGCUACCCUAAACGCAAGCUGCUCCCCCGAUUAGAGGAGGAGGUGUAUGAACCCGCAUCACCAGGAGACAAUACGGCUGACCGACCACCCCGUGGUCACGACAGAGAGGCCUCUAGGCCCUUCACUAGACCCGUACCCCGACAUUGCUCGAAAAGCACAAGGCCACAGGGGAACGCUCCGGGCUUGUGAGAUAUAUUGGAGGAUAAGGCAAGACAAUCAAGAUCGAUCUAUGGAUCGCAUGGGCGCCCCACGAUACGUGACGACAACCGUCGCGCAGGACAUAGUAAGUCCGGCCGGGCCGAACAAAAUAGACAAAGCUCUGUUGAGCUCCGUCGUGAUAUCGCCCAGUACAGAGGCGCCGCACACCCACUAUGCUUCACAGAUGAAGUAAUGGAUCAUCAAAUCCCCGAAGGGUUUAAACCCGUGAAUAUUGAAUCUUACGAUGGCACAACAGACCCCGCGGUUUGGAUCGAAGACUAUCUCCUUCACAUCCACAUGACCCGUGGUGACGAUCUUCACGCCAUCAAAUAUCUCCCCCUCAAGCUUAAAGGACCAGCCCGGCAUUGGCUUAACAGCUUGCCAGCAGAGUCAAUUGGGAGUUGGGAAGACCUGGAAGCCGCAUUCCUUGAUAACUUCCAAGGCACGUAUGUGCGACCACCAGACGCUGAUGACCUAAGCCACGUAAUUCAGCAGCCAGACGAAUUGGCCAGACAAUUCUGGACACGGUUCUUAACCAAGAAAAACCAAAUCGUCGACUGUCCGGAUGCGGAGGCCCUCGCGGCCUUCAAGCAUAAUAUCCGCGACGAGUGGCUUGCCUGGCACCUGGGACAGGAAAAGCCGAAAUCCAUGGCAGCCCUCACAUCACUCAUGACCCGCUUCUGUGCGGGUGAGGACAGCUGGCUAGCACGCAGCAACAACCUCAGAAAAAAUUCUGGCAGUCCGGACAUCAAGGACCGUAGUGGCAGGUCGUGUCGUAACAAAAACAAAUGCCGCAUUAACGGCGACAAUAGUGAGGAUACGGCAGCAAUGCCGGAUUUAGAGGCUCUAAACCCAGUCAGCGGAAAAAGCCAUUCAAAAGAACUACUCCGGGUCCGUCCAAUUUGGACCGAAUACUCGAUCACUCGUGCCAGAUACACGGCACCCCUGAAAAACCAGCCAACCACACCAACAGGGACUGUUGGGUAUUCAAGCAGGUGGGCAAGUUAAUUGCCGAAAACAAUGACAAGGGGCUGCAUAGCGAUGACGAGGAAGAGACCCGACCGCCGAACAAUAGAGGACAGAAGGGUUUCCCCCCACAGGUGCGGACGGUGAACAUGAUAUACGCAACGCACAUACCCUAAAGGGAGCGGAAGCGUGCACUCAGGGAUGUAUACGCGAUGGAGCCAGUUGCCCUGAAGUUCAAUCCAUGGUCCUCCUGCCCGAUCACUUUUGACCGAAGGGACCACCCCACCAGCAUCCGCCAUGGCGGAUUCGCCGCAUUGGUCCUAGGCCCAAUCGUCGAUGGAUUUCACCUCACCAGAGUCCUGAUGGACGGCGGCAGCAGCCUGAACCUGCUUUAUCAGGAUACAGUGCGCAAAAUGGGCAUAGACCCCUCAAGGAUUAAACCUACCAAGACGACCUUUAAAGGCGUCAUACCAGGUGUAGAAGCCAAUUGUACAAGCUCAGUCACACUGGAAGUGGUCUUCGGAUCCCCGGAGAACUUCCGAAGCGAGGAGUUAAUCUUCGACAUAGUUCCGUUCCGCAGCGGCUACCAUGCCCUGCUCGGACGAACCGCGUUUGCAAAGUUCAACGCGGUGCCGCACUACGCAUACCUCAAGCUCAAGAUGCCAGGCCCUCGAGGAGUCAUCACGGUCAAUGGAAACACUGAACGUUCUCUCCGAACGGAGGAACAUACAGCGGCUCUCGCGGCAGAAGUACAAUGCAGCCUCUUAAGGCAAUUCUCGAGUCCGGCCGUUAAGCGGCCGAACACAGCUAAGCGCGCCCGGAGUAACCUACAACAAGACCACCUGGCACGUUCCGAGCACGCGUAGCAGUGCGGCCCCAACCCCAGCCCCUGUAAAACGUCAAAAUAGGUCCUUCGCGUACACCAUUACGCCCUGAAGAUACCAUGGGCAUGGGGAGAGGGGCACGACCUCGAUAAGCCCAGACUGUAGCUCAACCACACCAGGGGCUCUCAAGUGUGUCGUUCUUUUUUUUCCUUUUCCUUUUUAUUUUUUUACCCACAGGACUCCGUUCGUCAGAGGCCCUGUCCGGCAGCAGACCUGCCGAACUCACGAUGCAACAACCAGGGAAGGAUAAAGGCUACAACGAAUAUCCAGGUGGUCUCCAUUACGAGCAUUAAAUCUGUUUUAUACACCACUCCGCAGCCUACCCCUGGAGGGGGACCUGUUUAACAGCCCCGUCCCUUGCUUAUCGCACUAUUUGUAUCGUUCUGCAUUCAUAGCAGCACUUUUUGAAUAAAACAAUGCAGCACCUUUUUGCUUAUAAUUGCAUUUCUUUUUUAUACGUAUGUUCAUUUAUGACAUGUUGCAUCCGUACACUUUGGUACGGUUAAAACACACCAGGGGCUUAUGUUUCCCGCAUCAUGGUGUGAUAAGUCCGAACACUUUCACAAGUGCGGCACCCCGAACUUAUAGCAUUAUAUGCAUCGGCUCCGAAUCAUGUCUUGGGUCAAUAGUUGGGUUUGCCCGGCUCCCAUGUUUUGGUACCUUACGUUCCGUUGUAUCGGCUAAGGUAGCACUGGGAGAACCACUGCAAUUGCGCCCCAGUUGAGCUGGAUUAACGCCUCAGUGGAGAAAGCUAAAACUGACCGUCAUGAUGAGGCAAGAGCCGGUCGCUGUUCGAGAGGUUUUUUGCGAGUCCUUAAAGACUUAUGCCGCUUAGAGCAAGGAGCCGGAUCUUGUCCGGCCCAGGUGUGGAUAACGCCCCAAAUUCGGCCUUCCGAAGACUAGGGGCUUCGCCGAAAUUUAAAAUUAUAGAAUUCUAUGGCUAAGUGAGAGUGUUCAAGCAUUAUAAGUCUGGUUGCCUUGUUCGCUGUGUUGAGCGCCUCCCUAGAUGGACCCAAAAAUGGGAACAAGAGUGCUCAAGUUUAUCCCGAACACCCCAGCACUCGUGGCAUGGGGGCUAAAGCCGACGACUUGCCAUCUCUCAGAUUUGAUAAACAGCCGCACAGAAGGUAAUAUUUUAAAUUAACAAGCGUUGCUUAGCGCAUAUGAACUAAGUUUUCAGCGCACAUGAUAACAAAAUGCGAGUCUACUCAACUAUUACAUCUUUGGAGCACUCACCCGCAAUAGUGCGGGCACCCUUCAGCACACUCUUAUAAUACAUCUCGGGCGUGCGAUGCUCCUUGCCCUCUGGUGGCGGGUCCGUUACGAGUUUCUGGGCAUCCAUCUUGCCGCAGUGCACCUUUGCGUGGGCAAGGGCCCGACGGGCACCUUCAAUACAGGCGGAGUGCUUGAUGACUUCAACCCACGAGCACGCAUCCACCAGCCGCCGCACCAGGCUGAAGUAGCUCCCAGGCAUGGCCUCCUUAGGCCACAACCGAACUAUGAGGCCCUUCAUGGCCUGUUCAGCCGCCUUGUGGAGCUCGACCAGCUGCUUCUGCUGGUCGCUAAGGGGCACCGGAUGUCCGGCCUCAGCAUACUGAGACCAGAAGACCUUCUCCGUCGAGCUCCCCUCCUCGGCCCGGUAGAACGUGGCAGCAUCAGACACGCUGCGAGGAAGAUCUGCGAACGCUCUUGGAGAGCUCCAAAUUCGGGUAAGCAACAGGUAAUUAACACUCACAUGCUUACGUUGCAUGAAAAAUGCCUUACCCGCUGCUAUUUUCUUCACCGCCUCAAUCUCCUGGAGGGCCUUGUAGGAUUUGGCCUUAGCGGCUUUGGCACUCUCAAGAGCUGUUGCAAGCUCAGACUCUUGAGUCUUCAAGUCACGCUCCAGGCUCUCAUGUUUUUUCAUGAGAUCCUGGAGCUCUUGCUGUACCUCCGCCACCCGCGCCUCCUGCUUCUCUCGCUCGGUGAGCUCCGCGACCGCAUUGUGUUCGGUCACGGACACCGCCUCUUUCAGGGUCGCCACCUCGUUAGUGGACCCUGCAAUACCCACGUUAUCCUUGUCAUUCUUUUUGCAACCAAAAUCCUUUUCUGUAAGGUACAAUUUUAAUAAGGUGUUACUCACCUUCCUUGUCCUCGAGCUGCUUCUUGGCACGGCCGAGCUCGUUCUCGGACCGCUCGAGGCUUUCCUUCAAAGUAUUGACCUCCACAGUCAGUGCGGCAGAGGUCAGCAGUGCAGCCUGCAAUCCCAUAUUGACAUAUUUUUUAUGACUCCUGCGUAUAUCUUUUUAGAUCCUCAGUCCGGCUUUUCUUUCCGAACACCGAACCGAGCAUCAGGGGCUACUGUCUAUGCGGUACCAUUUUAUAUAUAUCGAAACUCUUACCUCAAAGCCUGUUAGAAGGCUGCUGCAGGCUUCGGUCGGCCCGCUCUUGGCGAGCUGCACCUUCUGAAUCACCGCACUCAUAACAGUGCGGUGUUCCUCUUCGAUGGAGGCGCCAUUGAGCACCUCCAGCAAGCUAUCCGGCGCCUCCGGUUGGACGGAGGCUACCGGCGUCACGGUCUUGCCCUUCUUACAAAGGGGUCGCCCGCCGGACUCCAGAGCCACUGUGGGUUCCGGGGCCGAGUCCGGUGCAAAGUCCGGGAGGUUGUCCUGCGACACCUCCGGGGCCUCCUCCUCCUGGUGGGUCCCUUCCUAGGAUCCCACCUCGGCAUCGUCCGCGUCACGGGGGGUGGAGGCAGUCGGAAGAGAAUCCAUAUCCGACGCACCUAAGGACCCGCUCGACGAAGCAGGAAGAUCAUCCUUGGGCGGACUUCAGGGUUGUAUGCGGCAUUAGAAAUACAUUAUGUGGCAAAAAAGAAAAACCUUAAAGCUAUUUGGGAGUCCGUAUACUUACGAUCUCGCCAGGGGCUUGGCCCUUGGAGGCCAGUCCUCGUCGUCGUCACUGGCGUUGGCAGAGCAGUCCGGGGAAAGAGUUUUUCCCUUCUUGGACCCUUCGGCCUCCCUUGUUGGGGAGGCCUUCCUUUUCUUCCCUCCCCCCACUGGGGGAGAGGCUUUCUUCUUCUCCUCCUCGCCUUGGUGGGAGGAUUCGGCCUCAGAUUCAUCAUCCGAUAGCACCUGAAAACGGGAACUCUUCCGAGUCCCCGUGGCCUUCUUCUUGGCCUUCUUCUCCGGCACCACGUGGGGUGCCGGAGCCAGCAGCCCCGUUAGGCGGGCGUCCGCUGGGUCCUCUGGCAAUGGGGCCGGACAGAUGGUCUGUUCGGCUUUCACUAGCCAGUCCUGUCAAAGGUAAAGGGAGUUUAGAUCCCGCAUAGAGUCAAACUAUGGAAAACAAGCGUUCCGUAAAGGACAAAAUCACUUACCUCGUCAGCCGGACGCUGCAAGCUGAAUCCGCGAUCUUCGGUAACGGAUGCGGGAGCCUCGGCGCCCUUGAACAGCACCUUCCAGACAUCUUCGUACGUAGUGUCGAAGAUCCCGCUCAGAGUCUGGUGCUGCGCCGGAUCGAACUCCCACAUGUUGAAACCCCGUCGUUGGCACAGGAGAAUCCGGCGGAUGAGCAUGACCUGGACUACGUUGACAAGCUUGAGAUUCUUGUCCACCAACUUCUGGAUACAGGCUUGGAGUCCGGUCAGCUCCUCUGAAUCCCCCCAGAUCCGGCCACUCUCUUUCCAGGAGGUGAGCCGUGUAGGGAUGCCGGAUCUGAAUUCGGGGGCCGCUGCCCAAUCAGGGUCACGCGGCUCGGUGAUGUAGAACCACCCCGAUUGCCACCCCUUGAUGGUUUCCACGAAAGUGCCCUCCAGCCAAGUAACAUGGGACAUGCUGCCCACCAUGGCGCCUCCGCACUCCGCUUGGUUGCCCUUCACAACCUUCGGCUUGACACUGAAGGUCUUGAGCCACAAGCCGAAGUGGGGCUGAAUGCAGAGGAAGGCCUCGCACACGACGAUAAACGCCGAGAUGUUGAGGAUGAAAUUCAGGGCCAGAUCAUGGAAAUCUAGGCCGUAGUAGAACAUGAGCCCCCGGACAAAGGGAUGAAGUGGGAAGCCCAGUCCGCGGAGGAAAUGGGGAAGAAAUACUACCCUCUCAUGGGGCCUGGGGGUGGGAAUGAGCUCUCCCUCGUCAGGGAGCCGGUGCACGAUGUUGCUGGACAAAUAUCUGGCGUCGCGCAGCUUCUGGAUCUGCCCCUCCGUGACGGAGGCGGCCAUCCACUUGCCUCCCGCUCCGGACAUAGUUGGAGAAGGUUGAGGUGAGAAGUGCGUACUUGGGUGCUGGAGCUCGAGUUCGCGGAGAUGGAUAAGCCAAGGAGGAAGAAGGCACAGGUAAAAGGGUUGGAUCUUUAUCCCCUUAUAUGGGCGGACAAAAACAUGUGUCCCCACCGGGCUGGUAAAACUCGCUUAUCUCCCAAGCGUCACAAUCAAUGGCAUGGUUGGGUUACCCACGUCCGUAUUGAUGGGAAUCCCGGAAUAAGGGGAACAUGAUCUCUGCUUCGACAAGACGUGCCAAGGAAACCGCUUCGCUCAACGCGCUGAGGUGGAACAAUAAAAACAAUUUGAGUAAAGGCUUGGUAGUGGUGUGACGUCACUCCACAAAAUACGUCAGCAGAUUGAACUUGUGUAAUGUUAUUCUCUCUAUGGUGGUACGUGGAAUUUAUUUUUGCAGAGCCAGACACUAUCCUGGUGUUCACAAUCUUCUAUAAAUUAUUCGGAGGAAGAACCCGCCUUGCAAUGCCGAAGACAACAUGCGCGCCGGACUCGUCGUCAUUGAAGCCUGGUUCAGGGGCUACUGAGGGAGUUCCGGACUAGGGGGUGUCCGAAUAGCCGAACUAUCAUGAUCGGCCGGACUCCAAGACUAUGAAGAUACAAGAUUGAAGACUUUGUCCCGUGUCCGGAUGGGACUUUCCUUGGCGUGGAAGGCAAGCUUGGCGAUACGGAUAUGUAGAUAUCCUACCAUUGUAACCGACUCUGUGUAACCCUAGCCCUCUCCGGUGUCUAUAUAAACCGGAUGGCUUUAGUCCAUAGGACGAACAACAAUCAUACCAUAGGCUAGCUUCUAGGGUUUAGCCUCCUUGAUCUCGUGGUAGAUCCACUCUUGUAACACACAUCAUCAAUAUUAAUCAAGCAUGACGUAGGGUUUUACCUCCAUCAAGAGGGCCCGAACCUGGGUAAAACAUAGUGUCCCUUGUCUCCUGUUACCAUCCGCCUAGACGCACAGUUCGGGACCCCCUACCCGAGAUCCGCUGGUUUUGACACCGACAGUCCCCCUGACUGGUUCUCAACGCCAAACCCUCCUAUAAAUACCCAAAUCUCCAAAAAAUAACCUAGAUCGGGAGUUCCGCCGCCGCAAGCCUCUGUAGCCACCAAAAACCAAUCGGGACCCUAUUCCGUCACCAUGUCGGAGGGGGAACCAUUACCGGUGGCCAUCUUCAUCAUCCCUACGCUCUCCAUGACGAGGAGGGAGUAGUUCACCCUCGGGGCCGAGGGUAUGUACUAGUAGCUAUGUGUUUGAUCUCUCUCUCUCUCUCGUGUUCUUGAUAUGGCAUGAUCUUGAUGUAUCGCGAGCUUUGCUAUUACAGUUGGAUCUUAUGAUGUUUCUCCCCCUCUACUCUCUUGUAAUGGAUUGAGUUUUCCCUUUGAAGUUAUCUUAUCAGAUUGAGUCUUUAAGGAUUUGAGAACACUUGAUGUAUGUCUUGCGUGGGAUACUCGUGGUGACAAUGGGGUAUUCUAUUGAUUCAUUUGAUGUAUGUUUUGGUAAUCAACUUGCGGGUUCUGUGACCUUGGGAAUCUAUGCAUAGGGGUUGGCACACAUUUUCGUCUUGACUCUUCAGUAGAAACUUUGGGGGCACUCUUUGAAGUUCUUUGUGUUGGUUGAAUAGAUGAAUCUGAGAUUGUGUGAUGCAUAUCGUAUAAUCAUACCCACAAAUACUUGAGGUGACAUUGGAGUAUCUAGGUGACAUUAGGGUUUUGGUUGAUUUGUGUCUUAAGGUGUUAUUUUACUAUGAACUCUAGGGCUGUUUGUGACACUUAUAGGUAUAGCCCAAUGGAUUGAUCGGAAAGAAUAACUUUGAGGUGGUUUCGUACCCUACAAUAAUCUCUUCAUUUGUUCUCCGCUAUUAGUUACUUUGGAGUGACUCUUUGUUGCAUGUUGAGGGAUAGUUAUAUGAUCUAAUUAUGCUAUUAUUGUUGAGAGAACUUGCACUAGCUAAAGUAUGACCCCUAGGCCUUGUUUCCUACCAUUGCAAUACCAUUUACGCUCACUUUUAUCGCUUGCUACCUUGCUGUUUUUAUAUUUUCAGAUUACAAAAACCUAUAUCUACCAUCCAUAUUGCACUUGUAUCACUAUCUCUUCGCUGAACUAGUGCACCUAAACAAUUUACCAUAUUAUUGGGUGUGUUGGGACACAAGAGACUCUUUGUUAUUUGGUUGCAGGGUUGUUUGAGAGAGACCAUCUUCAUCCUACGCCUCCCACGGAUUGAUAAACCUUAGGUCAUCCACUUGAGGGAAAUUUGCUACUGUCCUAAAACCUAUGCACUUGGAGCCCAACAACGUCUACAAGAAGAAGGUUGUGUAGGAGACAUCAAGGGGUCAAUAUGGAUGUUCAUGGUUCCAGAAUUGAUCAUUGUUCUGAAGGUGUUCCAGGUCAUGUCUACACUUUACCAAACCCACGGGGCCACACACUUGAGGGUCAUUGAUCUGUUGAGUGCUAGAAAUGUAGGAGCUCAUGUGAAUUGCACAGGAAAAAUUUCAGGAGAAAUAAAUUGUUUCAGAGAGAGAACUAAAAGCGUUUUUGGAAAACUAGUAGCAUUUCAGAGGAAGACCGAAAAAGUUCGGUGAACCAAAAAAGUCCGGAGACCCUAAAAUGACCACCGGAGGAUAAGGGAUGGUUCUAGAAUUUUUUCGAACCUCCUAGAAUAUUCCUAGGGCUCCAUGGAUUAGUCCAUGGCAAGGCCGAAUGUGGGGGGCAUCCGCAUGGGCCCGAAGAGACCAAUAGUGGCCCCCACUAGGCUUGGUAGCCAAGCCACCUAGUGGCAGCCUAGGGUUGGAGAAGGGGGGCACCCCUUGGGGAAGUCAGCCCUAGAUGGGGGCGCACCCCUUGGGGGAAGCCGACCCCUCUCGAAGCUGGCCUGCCUUGGGCCUCUUAUAAAUAAAGGGGAUGGAAACCUCCAAACACGUCUUUAUUUGUGUUGUGGAUGCAUCUCUCUCUCUCUCUCUCCCGCAAGCUGACAUUGUCUCCAUAGGCAUGGAAUAAGGUCUCUCUCCUCGCCCUUGUUUUGACAGUGCCUCUUUGUAGUGUCCGGAGGUGUGUAGAGUAUGGCAUGUUCACAUAUAUGUUGCUCCAAGUCUAACCUUUUGUGCAAGUUUUUCUUGGUGGCGCGGUCUGCGGAGUGGACAACAUGGUUAUGCGUCUUGGUCCUCCUGCUCUUGCUCCGACCGAUGAAGGUUGGCGAGUCUCAGACUCCUCAGGGAGCAUGCAAUAUUUGUGUUCCCUAACUCCGUUCGGACGACCUAGGGCAUUAUUCUAUAUGUCCUCACUAAUGUUUCUUCUCUAGGUGGCGAUUUUUUGUGCAGAUCGUUGUCGUUGGCAUUUUUUGGUCUAUAUCAAUGACUUCCCAGCUAUGGCUUCUACAAGAUCCUGGGUUUCAAUAAGUUUACCCCACUAAUGCGGAGGCCCAGAGGCGAUAACAAGGUUUGCCCAUGGCCCAACACCGAUGGAUUCCGGGGGAAGAAGACUUCAGCACCCUCAAGGACUUAGAUGUAUUUUCCAAUUACGGUAAGAGUGUUUUAAUAAGGAACCGUGCUACAUAAUAUAUGACAAUGUUGAGGAUAUCGUUUAUUGUUAGCAUUUCGGUCAGCUGGGGAUUAGAGAUUAGUCAGAAAUCAGCCGAUUAAUUGACUUUAUAGGCUAACUAUUAAUCGAGUUUUUUUUUCAAAUCCCAGGUUUUCACCACUAAAAUAUGCUAUAUUCAACACAAAGACAAUAUUGGACAUAAGUGUUACCAUGAUUACUUUGCUCCAAAUCCUUGUAUAAUGGCUAACAAAACAGGACACCACAUAUUCGAUAAUAAGGUCCAAAAAAAUUAAACAUAGUUCUUGCACACAUAGUGCUAGGAAUAGGCCCGAUUUAUCGGUAUAUUCCCUGUAAAUCGCUUGUCAGAGUGAUAAAUUGGUCCAAUCAACAAAUAGUGAUGAUGUGAUAUAAUCUUAUCGGUCAACCCCCGAGUAGUGAUAAAUCGCUGAAUCAACAGAUUUUUAAAAUAGUGAUAUAUGGCCUUUGAUACGUCCAUUUUGCAUCAUGCUUUUAUAUCAGUAUUUAUUGCAUUAUGGACUGUUAUUACACGUUAUAUCAUAAUACUUAUGCAUUUUCUCUCUUAUUUUAUAAGAUUUACAUGAAGAGGGAGAAUGCUGGCAGCUGGAAUUCUGGACUAGAAAAGGAGCAAAUAUUAGAGACCUAUUCUGCACAACUCCAAAAGUCCUGAAACUUCACGGAGAUCAGUUUUGGAAUAAAUAAAAAAAUAUUGGGAGAAGAAAGCACCAGAGGGGGGGCACCACCCAGCCACAAGGGUGGAGGGCGCGCCCUACCCCCUGGGCGCGCCCCCUACCUCGUGGGCCCCCUGGCAGGCCCCCGACGCCCAUCUUCUGCUAUAUGGUGUCUUUUGCCCUAGAAACAAUCAGAGAGAAGCUUUCGGGGGCGAAGUGCUGUUGUCUUGAGGCGGAACCUGGGCAGGACCAAUCUAGGGCUCCGGCGGAGCUAUUCUGCCAGGGAAACAUCCCUCCGGGAGGGGGAAAUCACCACCAUCAUCAUCAUCGAUCAUCUCAUCGAGAGGGGGUCAAUCUCCACUAACAUCUUCACCAGCACCAUCUCCUCUCAAACCCUAGUUCAUCUCUUGUAUCCGAUCUUUGUCUCAAAACCUCAGAUUGGUACAUGUGGGUUGCUAGUAGUGUUGAUUACUCCUUGUAGUUGAUGAUAGUUGGUUUAUCCGGUGGAAGAUCAUAUGUUCAGAUCCUUAAUGCUUACUAAUACUCCUCUGACUGUGAAAUGAAUAUGCUUUGUGAGUAGUUAUGUUUGUUCCUGAGGACAUGGGAGAAGUCUUGUUAUACGUAAUCAUGUGAAUUUGGUAUUCGUUCGAUAUUUUGAUGAGAUGUAUGUUGUCUCUCCUCUAGUGUUGUUAUGUGAACGUCGACUACAUGCCACUCCACCAUGAUUUGGGCCUAGGGGAAGGCAUUGGGAAGUAUUAAGUAGAUGAUGGGUUGCUAGAGAGACAGAAGCUUAAACCCAAGUUUAUGCGUUGCUUAAUAAGGGGUUGAUUUGUAUCCAUUUGUUUCAUGCUAUGGUUAGGUUUACCUUAAUUCUUCUUUCGUAGUUGUGUAUGCUUGUGAGGGAGGGGUUAAUCAUGAGUGGGAGGCUUGUCCAAGGAAGGGCAGCACCCAAGCACCAGUCUCGGGAGCGCUUUGCUUUAUAUAAGAGUUUGUCCAGGCUUGUCCUUUGCUACAAAAAGGAUUGGGACACCUUGUUGCACCUUGUUUACUUUUGUUACUUGUUACUUGUUACGAAUUACCUUAUCACAAAACUAUCUAUUACCGAUAAUUUCAGUGCUUGCAGAGAAUACCUUGCUGAAAACCGCUUGUCAUUUCCUUCUGCUCCUCGUUGGGUUUGACACUCUUACUUAUCAAAAGGACUACGAUAGAUCCCCUAUACUUGUGGGUCAUCAAGACUCUUUUCUGGCACUAUUGCCGGGGAGUGAAGCGCCUUUGGUGAGUGGAGUUUGGUAAGGAAACAUUUAUAUAGUGUGCUGAAAUUUACUGUCACUUGUUACUAUGGAAAAUAAUCCUUUGAGGGGCUUGUUCGGGGUAUCUUCACCUUGAUUGGAAGAGCAAAGAGUUGCUCCUCAACCUACUGAACCUACUGAAAAGAUUUACUUUGAAAUUCCUUCGGGUAUGAUAGAGAAACUGCUAGCUAAUCCUUAUACAGGAGAUGGAACAUUACAUCCCGAUAUGCACCUAAUAUAUGUGGGUGAAGUUUGUGGAUUAUUUAAGCUUGCAGGUAUGCCUGAGGAUGUUGUUAACAAAAAGGUAUUCCUUUUAUCUUUGAAGGGAAAGGUAUUGACAUGGUAUAGGCUAUUUGAUGAUAUUGGAUCAUGGAACUACAACUGAUUGAAAUUGGAAUUUCAUCAAAAGUUUUAUCCUAUGCAUCUGGUUCAUCAUGAUCGUAAUUAUAUAUAUAGUUUUUGGCCUCGUGAAGGAGAAAGUAUCACUCAAGCUUGGGGGAGGCUUAAGUCAAUGUUAUAUUCAUGCCCCAAUCAUGAGCUCUCAAGAGAAAUUAUUAUUCAAAUUUUUAUGCUCGGCGUUCUCAUAAUGAUCGGUCCAUGCUCGAUACUUCUUGUACUAGUUCUUUUAUGAUGAAGACUAUUGAAUUCAAAUGGGAUUUAUUGGAAAGAAUUAAACACAUCUCUGAAGAUUGGGAACUCGACAAAGGUAAGGAGUCAGGUAUAAACUUUAAGUUUGAUUGUAUUAAAUCUUUUAUGGAUACUGAUGCUUUUCGUGAAUUUAGCACUAAAUAUGGACUUGACUCUGAGAUAGUAGCCCCUUUCUCUGAGUCGUUUGCUACUCAUGUUGAUCUCCCUAAGGAUAAGUGGUUUAAAUAUCAUCCUCCCAUUAAAGUAAAGUAGUAGAACCUAUUAAAGUUGAAGAAGAAACUAUUACUUAUAAUGUUGAUCAUAUUGUUCCUACUGCUUAUAUUGAGAAACCACCUUUCCCUGUUAGAGUAAAGGAUCAUGCUAAAGCUUCAAUUGUGGUUCAUAAGAGUUAUACUAGAACACCUACACCCCCUGAACAAAUUAAAGUUGAACCUAGUAUUGCUAUGCUUAAAGAUCUCUUGGUCGAUAAUAUUGAUGGGCAUGUUAUUUAUUUCUAUGAUGAAGCUGCUAGAAUUGCUAAACCCGAUACUAAAGGUAAACAUAGGCCUGCUGUUGGCAUGCCUGUUGUUUCUAUUAAAAUAGUAGAUCAUUGUUAUCAUGGCUUAUGUGAUAUGGGUGCUAGUGUGAGUACAAUACCUUAUACCUUAUAUAAAGAAAUUAUGAAUGAAACUGCACCUAUUGAGAUAGAAGAUAUUGAUGUUACUAUUAAGCUUGCCAAUAGAGAUACUAUUUCACCAGUUGUGAUUGUUAGAGAUGUUGAAGUCUUGUAUGGGAAAAUUAAAUAUCCUACUGAUUUUCUUGUUCUUGGUUCCCCACAAGAUCACUUUUGUCCCAUUAUAUUUGGUAGACCCUUCUUGAAUAUUGUUAAUGCUAAGAUAGAUUGCGAAAAGGAUAUUGUUACUGUUGGUUUAGGGGAUAUGUCUCAUGAUUUUAAUUACUCUAGAUCUCGUAGACAACCCCAUGAUAAAGAAUUGCUUAAUAAGGAUGAAAUUAUUGGUCUUGCUUCUAUUGCCGUGCGCCCUAAUCAUCCCUUAGAACAAUAUUUGCUACACCAUGAAAAUGAUAUGUUUAUGAAUGAAAGAAGGGAAAUAGAUGAAGUAUUCUUUAAGAAAGGAGCUAUUUUGAAACAAAAUUUGCCUGUUGAAAUUCUCAGAGAUCCUCCUCCACCCAAGGGUGAUCCCGUGUUUGAGCUUAAACAAUUACCUGAUACUCUUAAAUAUGCUUAUCUCGAUGAAAAGAAGAUAUAUCAUGUUAUUAUAGUGCUAACCUUUCAGAGCAUGAAGAAGAGAAAUUAUUGAAAACUCUUAAGAAGCACCGUGCCGCUAUUGGAUACACUCUUGAUGAUCUUAAGGGCAUUAGUCCCACUCUAUGUCAGCACAAAAUAAAACUGGAGAAAGAUGCUAAACCAGUUGUUGAUCACCAACGAUUGUUAAAUCCUAAGAUGAAAGAAGUGGUAAGAAAUGAAAUAUUAAAGGUUCUAGAGGCAUGUAUAAUUUAUCCUAUUUCUUAUAGUCAGUGGGUAAGUCCCGCUCGUUGUGUCCCUAAGAAGGGAGGUAUUACUGUUGUUCCUAAUGAUAAAAAUAAAUUGAUUCCACAAAGAAUUGUUACAGGUUAUAGAAUGGUAAUUGAUUUCCGCAAAUUAAAUAAAGCUACCUGAAAAGACAAUUACCCUCUACCUUUUAUUGAUCAAAUGCUACAAAGACUAUCCAAACAUACACAUUUUUGCUUCCUAGAUGGUUAUUCUGGCUUCUCUCAAAUACCUGUGUCAAAA